rnacentral:lncRNA from 1 species
GAAGCACUCUGCGACUUUGGCUCCAGUGUCAACAUUAUACCCAGGGUACUCUAUGAAAAAUUCUUUACAUAUCCUUUAUUAGAAACGACCAUGUGUUUGCAGUUUGCAGAUCAGACGAUAACCGUUCCAAAAGGAAUAGUAAAGAACCUUUGUGUCCGAGUUGGUACCUUAUAUGCCCCAGCAGACUUCGUAGUGGUAGAGACCGGAAAUGAUGAGAGAGCACCUAUCAUCUUAGGGAGGCCAUUCUUGAAUACCACGGGAGCUAUCAUCUACGCUAGUGCUGCCAAGAUCAGUUUCUACGUCAAAGGGAGGAAGGAGAUAUUUUUCUUCAAGAACAAGACUACACAAAUUCCAUAUCAAUCCAGACGUGAAUCAAGGAAGAGGACCAACAGGAGGAACAGGAACAAGCAAGUGUGGACCGAGUCAGCUAAGAUGGUCACUGUAGUUCAUGGAGGCCAAGAUCACCAACUUAAGUCACCGCUUUUGACCAAGAAGGACGACCCAGGAAUGCCAAGCAUUUACUGCUCCAUAAAUGGAUACAACUUCUACAAGACAUUUUGUGACACCGGAUCGGGCGUCAACAUAAUGGCCGCAGUCACCUAUCGGCUCUUGUUCGGGACCAUGCCACUAAGACCAACAUACAUUCAGCUCCAGAUGGCAGAUCAGACAUUUCGAGAAGUUAAAGGAAUAGUAACUGAUGUCCCAGUCAAAAUAGACGAUCACUUUGUCUACACAGACUUUCAAGUUAUUGACAUGGGAGAAGAUGAGUACGAUCCACCCAUCAUCCUUGGAAGACCGUUCCUCAGCACCGUUAAAGCAAUUAUCUACAUUGGAACCGGAGAAGUCCAUAUGCACUUCCCCUCAGAGAAGGUACGCCGUUAUGUUACUGACCCUAACUAUAUCGUUGAAGAAUCUAAGCAGGUCAGAAAGAGACGCAACCGCAACCAGAGGAGGCAAAUCAUCAAGGACGGAUGGGCAGACUACGAAGGAGAAGUUGUAAGAUCAGAAGACGUUGAGUUUAAACAGAAUUAUCCAGAGGAGACUGAAGCACCAAAUCAGGUGUGGAAAAUAAAGAUAACUAUACAUGAAGAGGAGGCACCGCCAGAAGAACCGACUACGCCACCCGACGAACCUCAGGACAAUUAAGAAAAUGGAGAGUCCCGUUCGGAGGACUUAAAAACACCGAACGCCUUGCCAAGAGGUAAACUUGGUAGUUAUCUUUUCCCUUUCAAAUUGUUUAAAAUAGUUUACUUAGUUAAUCAUGUUCAUACUAUCUUAAAAAUAAAAGAAAAUAAAAAUGUGAAAAACAGUAAGCCCCAUGUGAGUAUACAAGUGGCAUAAAACCCAUAAGUACAUUUACUGUGGUGGCAUAAAAAUAAAAUAAUUUUUUUUCUGCUUUAUAAAAUAAAAAAAAAUAUAUAUAAACAGGGAGUAAUAUUUACUAAGGAGUCUCAAUAUGAUAAAGGCUAGAUAUUUAUGCUAACACUUAAUCAGUUCCACAAGCUUUGUUGUCUAUUUGAGCUCCACAGAAUUUAAGAGUCAAGAAGACUAGCAGACGGAGGACAUUCUAAUCGCUGUCAGAAUGCUGCUGACUUUCAAAUACACCUCUGCCACCUGCUAGCUACAUCAAGAGAAAUUACGUCAAAAUUCAGCUUGGGGGAGAGCACCCCCAUUUAUCUCGAUAAGUAUUUCUAUCUAUCUAUCUUUAUACUUAUAUUAUUUUAGAAUAUAAAUAUAUAUAACUAUGGAAAACCAAAUAAAGAUUUUAUGCUUAUUUAUAUAUCUUUUGCUUAGUGUGUUUAAUAAAUAAAUAAAGUGGCUAUGCUAAUCUGUAUCUAAAUAAAACUUAAGCAUGGAUAUGAUGAAUAGUUGCUCUGCCUAAUUUGCACAUUUUAAGUUCUCUCUCAAGUUUAGAUAUAACUGUUAUAAUUUAAAGCUUGCUCUAGACCUAAACUUGUGGGAUGAAAACUUGAUCUGAAGACUAAGUUGUUAACGGAUACGAUAUGGGAAGGUUGAGCUGCUGUUUAUCUGUUCCUAGAGAUGCUAGAAUUCUGGAGAAUUUUAUCUUUGAAAAUCUUUAAAAUGUUGCAUGAUGAGUUCCUGUAUGAUGAGAGUUUAAAUUCCUACCACAGCCAUAUAUAUAUGCUUGCUAGACUUUGAGCUACACAUUUACUAUUUACUGCUUAUGAGCAUUGAGUGUGGUCAAGCUGUGUAGACCCUUAGGAACUUGUCAUGUGGUUAAAUCAAGAUUUCACUUGCACGUUCACUCAUAUAUGCUACUUCUACUCCGGAAGUACCAUCCACAUAAAUCCAUCCAUUUUCAACUCCAGAACCACCUAAAAAUAUUCUACUCCUGAUCUAGGAGAGAAUAACCAAAAAUAUUUUUGUUUUUCCCUUGUGAAAUAAAUGCUCAAGUUAUCUUGUUACUACCACUUGCUAUAUUGUCUCAAGAGAUGAAUGCUCAAUAAAAAAAAGAGAGAAAUACGAGGAAAUAAAAAGGAGCAAGUGCUCGGAACCUCGAAAGAAAAGAGAGAGUGAGACGAGAGGUAAAAAUGGACAAGUGUCCGACAGUAGAAUUAGGGGUGCAAGAUACCCACCUGAGAGAAAACAAAAAGAAGAGCAUCUCAUUCUCCUCAUAAAGUUUCAAAAAAAGCAAGGAAGGUAUGUAUACUUUAUUUCCCACCUAUGAGCUCCAGAUAUUAAAGCCUUAUUAGAGUAGGGUGAGAGAGAAGGCAAUGUCACUAUGCCUUAUACCACAAAUACUACAUAUCUUGAGAGAAGGCAUAUACCAUCACUGCCUUGGUAAGGAUCCAGAAAUACCACAAAAGAGAGACCUGAGAGAAUCAUACAAGGAAUCUCUGAGUUUUAUUUGAAAAUCUGCAAAAACCCCGGAGCUAUAGCUGAUCAAGAAUAAGAGACAUGGCACUUGACUAGACUGUUCUAUCUUUUAACCUCUCAAGACAGAAGUGACAGUUACAAGUCCCAUGGUGAAGGUAAAGUAAGUAAGUUUUAAGUCUUGACAGUUUACUCUAGCUUAGAGAUGAGAUCUUAUUUAAAAAGCAUGUGUACCGUCAAUUUUUAAAUAUAUUGCAAUAACUUAUGAUCCAUAGCUGAGUCUAUCCUUGCUCAGGGACGAGCAAGAGGUAAGCUUGGGGGAGUUUGUUGACGGUCCUUAAGUAUCAAAUUUAAUUAUCAAAUAAAUAAAGAAAAGGAUCCAAAUGAAAUCAACAUCUAGAUUUAGGGUUUUAACUGACAGAAUUCCACGAGUUUUGGUGUGUGUCUGUUUCUGCAGGGGGUUAUCAGGAAAUACGGAAGAAAGGCCCACACGUCGGGAUUACAUAGAGAUAUUAACGUGCCGGGCAAUUAUCUUACAUCUAGAAGACUCCAUAAGCCACGAGACCGAAGCGGAGGCGAAACGGAGCCAGAGGCAGGGCGCCCGCCCUCCUGCCCUGGGCGCCCGCCCCCUCUGGGAGUCCAAUCAGGACUCUGCUUCGCGGGAGAUCUCCACCGACCUAAAGGAUGAAUCUAAACCAUACAAUCUAUGUCGGUUUGAUCCAACGGCCCAUAUUCACUUGAAGGGACUAUAAAACCAGACCCCCUGGCCCCUGGAGGAGAGAGCCUCUCAACAAUAAUUCAUUGUUCCAUCAAGGGAGAAGAAGCCUCUGAUCAAGAUUAGAGCCACCACAUCAAUUAGAUAUCUAGAUUAGCAUAGCUACAUAGGAUUAGAACUAGAAGGAGUCAAUCUUCGAUUGGUUUCCGGAUCUGUCAAGAGGAUUCUUGGUAAUUCUCUAAUCGUGCUUCUAAUUGCUUUCUAAUUAUCUUUGUUCUUCAAUAUUAUGAAUAUGACUUUGUUCUACUUCAAUAUAUUGCUUAUGACUUUGCUCUACUUGCUUAUAUUCAAGAUUAUAUUGGUCUUAGUUUAUCAUAGUUAUGUACUUGGCUUAGUUAGAUUGGAUCUAUAUACAUGCUUAGGAUCGUAUAGCGUUUAUCCAUCGGAUCCAUGGGUAAAUGAUAGAUAUUGUGUAGGCGUGGUGCUUAUACCGUAUUUAUCUCCGAUUGUACCCAAUAUGCCAGAUCGUGGGGUGGUUCGUGAUAGUGACAGCUUCAUUGAUUCUUAUAUAGUCCCCCUCUCGUGUAUUGGGCUGGCAGAGCAACAUUAUUACAGGGGAGUGAUUGCUAUGUUUCUCAUAUUCCUUGCUAAUAUCACUAUGCAUGGGCGUAGUCUUGUCUCGCAAUGAUUGCUAAGUAUGCUUGCACUAACUAUGAUAUACUAGACUAUAUAGUUGAUAAUAACUUAGGGAAUAUUCUUGUAGUUCGUUCUAAUACCAUGCUAAUGACUUUCUAGAGUAUCUAAUUGAGGUGCUUAUCAUAUUUAUUAUGUGGCUAGAUCAGAUUAAUUAUCCUUGUCACUAUUCAUUAUUUCAUAUAUCUUUUAUGUGACACUUAUCCCUGUAUGAAGAGUUAGAUAUAAUGUUCUCAAUUAUACAUGCAAUGAUAGAUGCUCAAUCUCAUAUUCUAUUCUGUAAUCAAUAUUGAUGAUUGCUAAUCCCUUCCCAGUGGUAAAAAUAUAAAUAACGAUACCUGGAAUACUUCCCGGUUAAAAUGCUACAUCGGUAUUAAUCUGUGCGCUUGCAGAUCCCAUUCAUUAUUUAUUUAGAAGAGCAAUUGCAUAUUUCAAUACCGCGUCUCUUAUAUCAUGCUGGGGAUGACAACUUGGCUUAAGUGGUGUGAGGGAUAGGUUUGGCAUUUUUGGCACCGUUACUAGAUUUAGAGAACUUAGUCUACUUUUGGUAAUGAUGUUAAGAAUACCCAACAGUCCACACUUGGUUGCGAGAGAAGUUGUUCCACUCCUCUUGCAUGGCAAUGAUCCAAUCCGCAUCACAAAGAGCUUCCUCUAUAGUGUUUGGUUCAUCUUGAAGAGACACAAAAGCGUGAUGUUUAAUAAAUAAAGCAUGUCUAGAACGUGUAGUUACACCACAUGAUGGACUCCCGAUGAUGAGAUCUUGAGAGUGAUCUUGAAGUAGAUUUGAUGAUCUUCUUGGCGCCACUUGAGGGGUUGGUUGGGGAGCAUCAACAUCUUGUGCUUGUGCCACCGCUUGCUCAUGAGUGACUUGGGUGUCUUCAUGAGCAUCUCUCACAUCCUUGUCUUCAUCUUGUGGUGCAUGUGAGGUGGAUGGUGGCUCAAUGACUUGCACAUCAUCAUCUUCUUUUGGCUUGAUGUCUCCCACCGGCAUGUUCUUCAUGGCAUCCCUCAAUGGUUCACCACCUACAUCAUCAAGAUUAUCACUUGCUCCUUGGGAGCCAUUAGUUUCAUCAAAUUCAACAUCAAAUGUUUCUUCAACCAUAUUUGUGGCAUGGUUAAAGACCCUAUAUGCCUUGGACUUUGAUGAAUAGCCAACCAAGUAGCCAAUGUCACAUCUUCUUUGGAACUUGCCCAAGUGUUGGCGCUUCUUGUAGAUGUAGCACUUGCACCCAAACACUCUUAAGAAUGAGACAUCGGGCUUCUUCCCAUUGAGGAACUCAUAUGGUGUCUUCUCUAGGAACUUGUGAGGAAAGAGCCGGUUUGAUGCAUAGCAUGCGGUGUUGAUUGCCUCGGCCCACAUCUUCUCCGAAGUGUUGUACUCAUCUAGCAUUGUUCUUGCCAAGGUGAUCAAUGUCCGGUUCUUUCUUUCUACAACCCCAUUUUGUUGUAGUGUGUAUGUUGAGGAGAACUCAUGUUUGAUUCCCACUUCAUCACAAUACUCUUCAAUGUUGGUGUUGUCAAAUUCUUUGCCAUUAUCACUUCUAAUCUUUUUGAUCUUGACAUCAAAUUGAUUUUGGCCAUUCUUUGCAAACUUCUUGAAUAUUGAUGCAACUUCGGCCUUGUCUUGCAAGAAGAAUGUCCAAGUGUACCGUGAGUAAUCAUCAACUAUGACCAAGCAAUAUUUGUUGCCUACAAGACUAGCAUAUGUGGUUGGUCCAAACAAAUCCAUGUGGAGUAGCUCAAGCACUCUUGAAGUAGAGAGAUAGGCUUUGGUUGGAUGAGUGUUUGCAACUUGCUUGCCGACUUGACAUGCACUACAAAGCUUGUCUUUUUCAAAGGUCACAUCCUUCAAACCUCUAAUCAAUUCUUUCUUCAUCAACUUCUUGAGUGUGCCCAUUCCAACAUGUGCUAACCUUCUAUGCCACAACUACCCAAGUGAAGUCUUGGUGAAUAAGCAAGUCUUGACAUCAACUUCAUCGGAUGAGAAAUCAACUACAUAUAGGUUGUUGUGUCGAAAGCCUUUGAAUACCAUUUCAUUGUCAUCCUCCUUGGUCACUAUUACUUCUUUCUUCUUGAAUAAGGAUUCAAAACCAAGAUCACAAAGUUGUCCAACCGAGAGCAAGUUGAAACUCAAUGAUUGCACAUAGAGCACAUUGGUGAUGGAGUUGUCAUUUGAUAUAGCAACCUUUCUUAGUCCCUUGACCUUGCCUUUUGAAUUGUCACCAAAUGUGAUCUUCUCUUGGUUGUCAACAUCUUCAUCAAGAGAGGUGAACAUCCAGGGAUCUCCGGUCAUAUGUUGAGUGCAACCACUAUCAAUUACCCAAUGUGAUCCACCGGUCUUGUAGUUCACCUACACACAAGAGAUUAAGCUUGAGAUUUAGGGACCCACAUUUGCUUAGGGCCCUUGACUUUCUCUACUAGUUGCUUUGGCACCCAAAUCUUCUUUGGCCUUUGCUUGUUGGGCGGCCCCAUGAAGCUAACCUUGACCUUGCCACUAUUGUCUUUCCUUACAAUGUAGUGAGCAUUGAAGGCAAAUGGUCUAGCAUGCUUCGGCAAUGGUGGUGGUAGUGGUGCCUUACACUCAUGAGCAAAGUGUCCUUCUUGACCACAUUCAAAACAUCUCUUUGGCUUUGGCUUGCUUGGUUGAUCAUGAGUGGCUAGUGACUUGAUGAGCUUUGUUUGAUGAGCCUUGUAGCCAAUCCCACUCUUGUCCAUCUUCAUGAUGGUGUUCAUGAAUAGCUCACUUUGAAGGUCCUUCCCUUUUGUGAACUUUGCUAACCCCAUAGUUAGAUGUUCCUUCUAUUUCUUGAGCUUGUUAUUUUCUUGAGUUAGCUUCUUGAUGAUUGGGUCAUUGUUGCUAGCUAACUCAUCCAAGAUGAAUGUCUCAUCUUCUUCUUGCUUGUCAUACAUCAAACCAAGCUUGAGAUAUUGAUUUUCUUCCUUGAGCAACUUGUUCUCAUAUGUAAGCUUCUUGUCUUUAUCAAGUGACUCAAUCACAAUUGUCUUGUGCUUGGCUUGCUCUUGCAACUCUUUCUUGAGCAUGACAAUUUCUUCCUUGAGCUUGUGUUGACGCCGUUUUUGGACGCGUACCCGGGAUCGGUAAAGUAUAGAUUGGCAGAUGGAGCAACGGUAACUAGUUUGCAGAGAAGUUGCCGAUGAAGGUGGUUGCCGAUGAAAAGAUAAUUGAAUGUGACUAAGUCCAGAGGUGGUGACGUACUCGUGCCGAUGAUCAGUAUUAGUGUUUGCCGAUAGCCAUAACAAGGGGUCUGCCGAUGAUUCUGAAGGGAAGCGUGGAGAUUGUCGGUUGUUCUGCGGUGGUGUCCCGGUCGGUUACAGGGGGAUAGUUUUAUGUUUUCCUUAGUUGUUUAAAUUCGUUUUGUAUAAGGAUUCCGUUUAAUUUGGAAUUUGAGUCCUAGUCGUGUCUGAUUGUAGCUCUUUGAGCAGCGUAUAAAUGUAGACCCUAGGGCCUUGUAAUAAGACAUCGAUCAAUCAAUCAAACCCAAGUUUUUACUCAUAUUCUAGUAUCUACUUUUUCAACGACUUCGUCAUAUUUUCCUUUUUAUUAUGAGUUCUUAGGAAUUCAACGACUUAAGAUUGGUGCGUUCUCAAGUUCCGCGUGAUCACCUCUUGGCUGUGACAUCCGGGCGCAUCGCUGUUGUCGGGACCAAAGUGGUCGAGUUACCACCUUUGCCGAUUGUAAGGUCAAAUCGGCUGGCACGCCUUAACGUUUAAAUUGGGUAUUAGCCCUUUGUGUUUCCAGAUCAGUUUUGCAACAACACAUCUUUACGCCCAGCUCUCAGAAGAGAUGAUGAAAGUAAAGCUCCUUGCCGAUGAAAAGCAUAAGAGCAUCGGCAUUCUGAAAUCCUCAGGAGACAUGCUGAAGCAAAAGAUCUCUGAUCUAUCGGCAAAGAGAGAAGCCCUGUUGGCAGAACUCAAACUAGUGGAAGAAGCUCUGUCUCAAGCUCAACAGGAAGAAAGCCAGCUGCCCGAAGCAAUCAAGACCCUUGAACAGGAACGAAACAUUCAAGCUCGCAAGGCACUGCAGAUGAAGAAGAAACUGCAGCCAGUGGAGGGUUCUGCCGAUGAAGACAUGAAGGAGAUAGAAGAAUCCGAUCAGAUUCAUCUGCACGCCAUAUCGACGAUCCAGGCUCUGCUAAACAUGUAAACUCUUCAUCGGCGGCGUGUCCUGCUUUUUUCUUUUAAACACUCCUAAUUAUUUUGGUCUAGCCGAUAGGACUGUUAUCGACACCUUCUUAAAACAUUAAGUCCGGCCCCAGAUACACUUUAAUCCAGCCGAUAGGAAUGUUAUCGGCACUUAGACUUUCAUGCAUCAAGCCAUAUGCUAGGAUAAUAUUUCUUUAAGUAUUUGCCAUUCAAUGCCCUGGGGAAUUCAACUCCUUCGAGAGUUUCUAAAAUAUAGGCAUUGCCAGGAGCAGAUCGGUUUAUCCGAUAAGGACCCUCCCAAUUGGGAGACCAUUUCCCAAACUUUGAACUUUUAGUCCCGAUCGGGAAGAUUAGUUUCCAUACUAAGUCUCCAUCGGCAAACUCCUUAGCCUUUACUUUUUUAUCAUACCAUCUAGCAACUCUCUUUUUAUUCUUCUAUGCUUAUCAAAGCCCUCAACCGAUGCCCUUCUAAAUCAUCCAAUUCGUCUGUCAUCAAAGUGGCAUAGUCAUCAGCAGUCAAUUGAUUCUGAAAAGAUAGUCGCCUAGAUCCAGUCUUAAUUUCCCAAGGUAGCACUGCGUCAUGUCCAUACACCAACUGAUAAGGUGAAACUUUGGUCGACCCAUGACAAGCCAUCCGAUAUGACCAUAAAGCCUCAUUUAACAAUGUAUGCCACCUCCUAGGAUUCUCUUCAAUCUUCCGUUUAAUAAGUUUGAUAAUCCCUUUGUUGGACGCCUCGGCCUGCCCAUUAGCUUGAGCAUAAUAAGGAGAAGAAUUCAACACUUUAAUCCCCAUACCGAUUGCAAAUUCGUCAAACUCGCCCGAUGUAAACAUAGUACCCUGAUCGGUAGUAAUCGUUUGAGGGAUACCGAAUCGGUAAAUAAUAUGCUCUUUUUACAAAAUCAAUCAUAUCGGUCGAUGUUACUUUUUUCAAAGGAAUAGCUUCAACCCACUUGGUGAAAUAAUCAGUAGCAACCAAGAUGAACUUGUGUCCUUUGCUAGAAGGUGGAUAAAUCUGGCCGAUCAAAUCAAUAGCCCAUCCCCGGAAUGGCCAAGGUUUAAUAAUGGGAUUCAUGGCCGAUGCGAGUGCCCUUUGAACAUUGCCAAUUUUCUGACAUCCUUGACACCCCUUGAAAUAUUUAAAGCAAUCUUCAAGUAUGGUUGGCCAAUAAUACCCAUUCCUCCUAAUCAUCCAUCUCAUCUUAAAAGCCGACUGAUGUGCUCCAAACACUCCUUCAUGGAUCUCUCCCAUCAAACCUUUAGCUUCAUCAUCGCCUAAGCACCUGAGAAGAACUCCAUCAAUUGUUCGAUAAUAUAGUUCAUCUUCGAGGAGCACAUAUUUGGUAGCUUGAAACCGAACACGCCUCUCAACCUUCUUUGAUGGAUCUCUUAAAUAAUCAAUAAUUUUUUUCUCCAAUCAUCGGCACUGAUUGCCAAUAACGUGUUCAAUAUGGGUUGAUAUCCCGAGGCAUGCUGAGCCAACCGAUUAGCCUCCUCAUUAUGUAACCGAGGAAUAUGCUCUAAUCAGAAAUCGCUGAAUUCCCAUAACAGUUGCAUACUCUUUUCGUAAUAAGUUAUCAGGACUUCGCUUCGGCAUUCGUAGCUUCCAGCCAAUUGAUUUAUAACCAGCAUAGAAUCCUCGAAGAUUUCAACAGCAUCAGCACGAACUUGCUUUAAUAACUCCAACCCCUUGAUUAAAGCUUGAUACUCAGCUUGAUUAUUUGUCGACGUGGCAACAAUCGGCAAAGAGAACUCAUACUUAUUUCCCUGAGGGGAAAUUAACACUAUGACGAUUCCUACCCACCGGUCACACGUAUAUCCAUCGAAGAAGAGCGUCCAAGGCACAAUUUCCAAAGUUUCCAUUGCACCACAAUGUUGAGUCACAAAAUCGGCCAUAAUCUGUCCUUUAACCGCUUUAGCCGAUUCGUAACGCAAAUCGAAUUCCGACAGUGCCAAAAUCCACUUACCGAUCCUGCCACUCAUGAUCGACAUUGAUAGCAUAUACCGGAGCACAUCAUCUUUGCAUAUAACAGUGCAUUCGGCCGAUAGUAAAUAGUGCCUCAACUUAAUGCAGGAGAAAUAUAAGCAUAAACAUAAUUUUUCAAUAGCCGAAUACCUGGUCUCAGCAUCAAUCAAUCUUCUGCUUAAAUAGUAAAUCACACGCUCCUUCCCUUCGAAUUCUUGGAUUAAAGCCGAACCGAUGACCAUCCCAUCGGUAGAUAAAUAUAAUCUAAAGGGCUUUCCUUGCUGAGGUGGAAUCAGAACUGGAGGAUUUAUCAAAUAAUUCUUGAUUUCAUCUAAAGCCAACUGUUGCUCUUUCCCCCAUAUGAACUCUUGAUCGGCUUUCAAUUUAUGUAAAGGACUGAAAGCACGAAUUUUACCAGACAAAUUAGAUAUAAACCGUCUGAUAAAAUUUACCUUGCCGAUCAAGGAUUAGAGCUCAGUCUUGUUAGUAGGGGCAACAAUUUUGUUGAUAGCAUCAAUAGAUCGUCUACUAAUUUCGAUUCCUCUCUGAUGCACCAUGAAACCAAGAAACUGCCCUGCCGACACACCAAAGGCACACUUAUUGGGAUUCAUCUUUAAACCAUGUUUCCUUGUGCACUUCAACACUUUUCGCAAAUCGGCAAGAUGCUUUGUGAAAUCUCCAGACAUAACCACCACAUCAUCAAUAUAAAUUUCCACUAGCUUGCCGAUGAACUCAUGAAAUAUAAAAUUCAUAGCCCUCUGAUAAGUAGCACCAGCAUUUUUCAAUCCAAAGGUCAUGACUAUCCAUUCAAACAACCCAACAUGACCAGGACAUCUAAAUACAGUCUUUGGAAUAUCUUCUUCAGCCAUGAAUAUUUGAUUAUAUCGUGUAUUACCAUCCAUGAAGCUUAUGAUCCGAUGCCCACCUGCAGCAUCAACUAACAAAUCGGCAAUCGGCAUCGAGUAUCCAUCCAUCGGCGUAGCCUUAUUGAGAUUCCUGAAAUCAAUGCAAACUCAAAGCUUCCUAUUUUUCUUGUAAACUAGAACAACAUUGGAAAUCCACUCGGCAUACUGACACUGCCGAAUAAAUUCAGCUUCAAUAAAUUUGGUUAUUUUGGCCUUAAUAUCAAGAAGAAUAUUAGGAUUACAUCGGCGAGCCGGCUGCUGAUGUGGCCGAAAUCCAGAUUUGAUAGGUAACCGAUGCUCAACAAUCGAUCGAUCUGAACCAGGCAUCUCGGUAUAAUCCCAAGCAAAGCAAUCUUUAUAUUCUUUUAACAAAUCGGUCAAUUAUUGCUUACACUCAGAAUUUAACUUAGCGCUAAUAAAACUAGGUCUAGGCUUAUCUCCACUACCUAUAUCUACCUCUACCAAAUCAUCUGCCGAUGUAAACCCCUAGCCUAAUUUUCCAUCAUCGGCAAACCUAUCCAUUAAAACUCCUCAUCAGAACCGACUGCUUGGAUCGGUGGAAUUUCAUAAUCGGCAACUUUGAGGAAAUCCUUCUCCCAAAUUUCCCCCGAGAUACACCUAGUCCUUUCAUAAGUGUCUGCCUCUGCCGAUGCAAUGACAUAAGAAGAAUAUACUGGGACAAUUUCAAUCUUGUCACCUACCCACUGAACCAAGCAUUGGUGCAUUGUAGAUGGGAUGCAAGAAUUGGCAUGAAUCCAAUCUCUCCCUAGCAGCAGAUUAUAAGCACCUUUUCCACUGAUCACAAAGAAAGUUAUCAGCAAGGUUUUGCUGCCGAUGGUCAACUCGACGCAUAUUGCCCCUUUAACUGGAGACACAUUCCCUUCAAAAUCUUUUAGCAUCAUAUCGGUCUUGGUCAAAUCUUGAUCUCCUUUCCUAAGUUUCCGAUAGACUGCAUAGGGCAUAAUAUUGAUAGCAGCCCCACCAUCGACUAAUAUCUUGGUCAUCGGCUGCCCAUCAACCCUUCCUUUGAUGAACAGAACUUUAAGGUGCUGCCUUUCUUUGUUGGUAGGCUUUUCAAAGAUAGCCGUCAUAGGAUCCAGAGCCAACUGAGCUAUCUGGUCGGAAAAAUCCAGCUCCUCAUCAUCACUGGAUGGCGCAAGGAACUCCAUCGGCAACAUAAAUACCAUGUUAACAUCUGCCGAUGGCCCUUUCCCCUUAGGAUCCGGUUGCUGCUGAUCCCCAGAUUAGCCAGAAUUCUCUCCCUUGACCAAAUUUUCUCGUCUUUUGCGCUGCAACCUUCUUUUCUGUGUCCUAGUCAACCCCUCCGGACACCAUGGAGGAAGUUGUGGUUGCCUUGUCGAUGGGUGACGAAUUUCCCUUGACUCCACUCGAUGGGUAUUGGCAUCUCUGCAAAAUAUGAACUCAUCGGGAACCCAUGCAUUGGCCAUCUCCUCAAGUUCCUCUUGGUUCCUGGGAAAAUACCCGGCACGAUCACCAAGCCUGUCGUGCACACUAAGUCUGCCCCCCAGCCGAUCAUGAACUAACGCUCUUCCCCUAAUCGGCCCAUUGAACCGUCGAUCAUCGUUCUGAUACUGCCGAUUAGGUUUGUCGUACCGAUCAUAACCAUUGCACUCAGGGCAAUCUUUAACAGUGGGCAAUUUGAUGUUCUGUUCCCAGCAAUGGAUGAAGAAUGGGCAGUUCCAGUGGUCCUUGUGCCGAUUCCACUCCCGUCGGCGUCUUUCUUCUUCCCGACGAUAGUCCUCCUGCUGGCGCUGAUACCGAUCUUCACGUUGCUGCCAAGUCUCCUGAUGUCUCCUAUGAGUUAUCAGAAUGCCGGAUCGGGGCAGCCUUUCUGAGCUAGUUCCUUCCUGGAUCAAACCCUUUCCCUUCGCAUCGGCAGUAGUGAUCUGAUGCUGAGGAUCCACCGAUGCACUUCUUUCAGUUGCUUCUGAUGUUAAGACCUUGGCUUUUCCCUUAGCAUCCAGCAUAUUUGUUGGGAAAGGAUGUUGAUCAAUCUUCAUCGGCUUCUGAGUUUUGGAAUUGUCAAACUUGAUUCUCCCAGAUUCUAUAGCCGAUUGCAACUGUUGCCUAAAAACUUUGCACUCAUUGGUGCUGUGAGAAGUCACAUUGUGCCACUUGCAAUAUUUCGUCUUCCUUAAUUCCUCUGCCGACGGAAUUACAUGAUUUGGUGACAAUUUGAUUUGCCCUUCUUGAAGUAGAAAUUCAAAUAUCCUGUCGACCUUGGUGAUGUCAAAUGCAAACUUUUCUCGCUCUUUAUGCCCAAAAUGGCAAGACAUCAGCUUCUUAUUCUUCACCCAUUCUACCAAGCCGAUGACUAGCUCUUCAUCUGAAUCUGAGCUCGCUGCCUCAUCAACAAAUGAUACCUUUUUGUUCCAAGCUCUCUUAGGUUCAAAGGGUUUGAUAUCCUGGUCGGAAAUCCUCUGUACCAAGUGACUUAGGCUCUCGAACUCUUGAGAAGCAUACUUGUCUCUGAUAUGUGGCAACAAACCCUGGAAAGCCAAAUCGGCCAGCUGUCGAUCAUCUAGAACCAGACUAUAGCAUUUAUUCUUGACCUCCCGCAAUGUCUGCACAAAACUUUCAACUGACUCAUCAUUGCGUUGCUUCAACCUGACUAAAUCGGUAAUUUUGUUCUCAUGAACUCCAGAGAAGAAGUACUUGUGGAACUGCUUCUCUAGAUCAGCCCAAGUGAUCACUGAGUUGGGAGGUAACGAUAUAAACCAAGUGAACACUGAUCCAGACAAUGAUGACGAGAAUAAGCGAACCCUCAAUUCGUCUCUGUUAGCAGCUUCGCCACAUUGGAUGAUGAACCUGUUGACAUACUCCAUAGUUGACGUAUCAUCCUGUCCAGAAAACUUAGUAAAAUCGGGUACCUUGUACCGAUUAGGAAGUGGAAUUAAAUCAUAUGCAGGAGGAUACGGUGUCCGAUAAGAGUAAGUGUUGACUUUGGGUUUUAUCCCAAAUUGGGCUCUCAUCACUUCAACUAUCUUAUCGGCCCAAUAAGCAUCGGCGUCUUGCCGAUGAGGCGGCUGUGGAUCUGGCACCUGCUGAUAUACUUCCACGUGUCUCUGAGGUGCACGAUCUGCAUGGACCAUUGGGUUAACCGUCUGACCACCAAUCUGCUGACCAAGAUUCAUCGGCUGGUUAAUCAACCCUUGAUUCUGAAACCCAGGUUGAAUUUUUCCUUGUUGAAACCCUGGAGCCUGAUGAUUCUGCUGAGGCAUCUGUGGAAAGACUGGCUGUCCUGUCCAUCCAUUAUUAGCAUUCAUCGGCAUAAACCCUACCGAUGGCUGAAGAUUGGGGAUCAUCAUUGAAUUGACAUACCCUGGCUGAGUCCUAAACCUCUACUACGUCGGCAUUGAAUCUGUCGAUGCGUUAGGCAUUUGGAACAUUGGGGCUUGAGAAUUCCCAGUGUUAGGUCUUGUAGUAGUAGUUGUAGUAUACUGGGGACUCUGAUUCAUCGGCAGAUUUGGCGGUGCCGAUGCCAUAGGUGCCUUGCCCGUCAUGUCAGUUGUUUGAGAUAUCCCAGGAGUCUUCAACAUCAUCUCUAGGGGCAUGCCAUAACCCCACCAGUUGGGAGGAACAGAUCCCGACAUUGCCGAUGCCAAUAGAUCUGUCGCAAGCUUGAUCUGCCCGUCAGAUGUUGAUGGAUUGGCCAUUGUUGAUGUAGAUUGCACAUCGAUGAGCCCUAAUGUGCUUGGAGGAGAAGUAGUUUCUACACCCGCAGCAGCUGUUGUAGCCGAUGAAGCUGUGACCACUGGUGACCCUGGCUGAUGAUGAGCAGGACCCACAUAAUUUGGUGGCAAUUGUCCUUCUGUGAAAGUUCUAGCCACGACAUUGAAAACCGUAUUGGACAGCACACCAGCUUGAUUCACCAAGGCACGGUUAAUAGCACUGUCAACCAUAUCUUGAAGUCUUCCAGGAUUGGCUUCAAAAGUAACCUGCCGAGGUGCCAGCAAUGCUUCCUUUUGGAUCACCUCGCCGCUCCUAUUGAUACUGAAGGAUUUCAAGCAUUGCUGCUUGUAGUCCUGCAUGGCUUUUGCAAUAGCUUGCUUCUGCUCAUCUCUGAGCUUGGCUUCCGUCACGGGGAUGACGUUCUCCAAGUCGAACUCGGUAGUCGCCAUGUCGAUCUUGAUCUUGAAUCUAGUCCCACUGGGCGUGCCAAAAGAUGUGUUGAUGCAAAACUGAUCUGCAAACACAAAGGGCUAAUACCCGAUUUAAACGUUAAGGCGUGCCAGCCGAUUUGACCUUACAAUCGGCAAAGGUGGUAACUCGACCACUUUGGUCCCGACAACAGCGAUGCGCCCGGAUGUCACGGCCAAGAGGUGAUCACGCGGAACUUGAGAACGCACCGAGCUUAAGUUGACGAAUUCCUAAGAACUCGUAAUAAAAAGCAAAAUAUGAAGUCGUCAAAAAAGUAGAUACUGGAAUAUGAGUAAAAAAACUUGUGUUUGAUUGAUUGAUCGAUGUCUUAUUACAAGGCCCUAGGGUCUACAUUUAUACCCUGCUCAAAGAGCUACAAUCAGACACGACUAGGACUCAAAUUCCAAAUUAAACAGAAUCCGUAUACAAAACGAAUUUAAACAACUAAGGAAAACAUAAAAGUAUCCCCCUGUAACCGACCGGGACACCACCGCAGACCAACCGACAAUCUCCAUGCUUCCCUUCAGAAUCAUCGGCAGACCCCCUGUUAUGGCUAUCAGCAAACACUAAUACUGAUCAUCGGCACGAGCACAUCACCACCUCUGGACUUAGUCACAUUCAAUUGUCUUUUCAUCAGCAACCACCUUCAUCGGCAACUUCCCUGCAGACUAGUUACUGUUGCUCUAUCUACCGAUCUAUACUUUACCGAUCCCCGGGUACGCGUCCAAAAACGGUGUCAACAGCUUGAUAGUGUCCUCAUAGCUCUCGGCCACUACCACUUUCUUGCCCUUGCAAUCAACACAUUUGCUUGUGCUCUCCACAAGUAAGUCAUCACAAGAUGUGGCUACAUCAAGCUUAGCAACAUGGUUAGUAGCAACAUGUGUUUCAUCAAUUGCAAGUUCAUAAGCUAUCUCAAGGUUGUCAUAGUUUGCUUUUAGAGUUGUAAGUUCUUCUUUCAUUGCUCUAUAUCUAGUGAUAAGCUCAUCAUGAACACUCUCAAGUUUAUCAUGUUUUUCUUUGAGCUCUUUUAGAGAGAGUUUGAGCUCCUUGAGCUUAGUGGUCAUGAUCUCAUUUUGAUCUCUAAGCUCAUCACUAGAUUUAAGCUUUGCGAAAAGUGUUUCAUUUUCAAGUUCAAGCUUUUCAUUUUCACUUCUAGACUUUCUUAUGAUUUUUGUAUAUUUGUUUAGCAAUUUUACAAGUUCAUCAUAAGAAGGUGAUUCGUAUUCACUAUGUACCUUCCGGUCACCUUUAGCCAUGAGGCAUAGGUGUGUAGAGGAUGUAGAUGGUGGUGAAGAUAAUGGUGAUGGAGCAUCGAUGGCAAUGGCGGCAAUCUUCUCAUCAUCACUCUCAUUGCCGGAGGAGUCACCACUUGAGCUCUCAAUGUCGGUGAGCCAAUCACCAACAAUGUAGGCCUUGCCAUUCUUCUUCUUGUGGUACUCCUUCUUCUUGCCACCUUUCUUCUUGUAUGACUUCUUGUCAUUCUUCUCAACAUCGCUUGAAUCAUCUUGCUCUUUGUUUUUCUUCUUGUACUUGUCCUUCUUGGGCUUGGGACAUUGGUGAGCAAGAUGACCAAGUUCCCCACAAUUGUAGCAAUCCAUCUUGGAGAUGGGCUUCCUCUUGCUACUUGUGAAGAACUUCUUCUUCUUCUUGGAGUCCAAGUUGACUCCAUUCUUGUUGAGCUUCUUCUACAUCUUAGUGGUUCUUCUCACCAAGAGGGCAAUGGAUGCAUCAUCAUCACUUGAAGUUGAUGACUCAACUUCAAUCUUCUUGGCUUUGCCCUUGUGAGAAGCUUUGAGGGCCAAGUCCUUCUUCUCCUUCUUGGCCAAUGAGGAGCCAUCUUGAGGGUUCAUGUGCAUAUACAUCUCAUGAGCAUUGAUCUUCACCAAUAUAGCGGUUGGUGUAGCGGUGGAGAGAUCGCCUUGAUGAAGCAUGGUUACUAUGUGCCCAUAUUUCUCAAUGGGAAGUACACAUAGUAUCUUCCUUGCGACAUCCGCCGCACUCAUUUGAGUGAGCCCAAGUCCAUUAAGCUCCUCUACAAUCACAUUCAAGCGAGAAUACAUUUUAUUAGCAUUUUCUUUGGGAAGCAUUUCAAAUGUAUUAAGCUUGUUCAUCACUAAGUGAUAGCGUUCCUCGCGUUCACUCUUGGAUCCCUCAUGGAGCGCACAAAGUUCCUUCCAUAGAGCAUGGGCGGUUUUGUGGUUCCGAACGCGGAUGAACACCUCUUUGCAAAGACCUCUAAAGAUGUGGUUUUUGGCCUUUGCAUUCCACUUCUUGUUCUCUUGUUCUUGUGGAGUAAGAACGGCGUAUUUUGCUGGAGGGGUAAACCCUUCGGUCGCGGCUUUUAGGCACUUUGAGUCACAUGCCUCAAGGUAUGACUCCAUCCGUAUUUUCCAAUACAGGAAGUCAUCCCCAUCGAACAUGGGUGGCGGUCCAUCCCCGUUAGACAUCUUUCUCUAGGCGGUGAAGCCUAAAUAAUGAGCACUAGGCUCCGAUACCAAUUGAAAGGAUCAAGAUGCCCAAGAGGGGGGUGAAUUGGGCUUCUCUAAAAAUUUAAGCAACCUAUAAGCUCUAAUUCAACCCCUUGUGCCUAGUGUGACUAGAGAGCUACCGGAUAAAAGUUUUGCAACCUAGUUCCAAUCCUAUUCUAGCAUGGUAAUUCUAAGAAUGUAAAAACACAAAGUAAAUGCUAGAAAGUAAAGGAGUAGUGGAAGAAAGUGCUCGGCGAUGUUUUGCCGAGGUAUCAAAGAGUCGCCACUCUCCACUAGUCCUCGUUGGAGCACCUGCGCAAGGGUCUUGCUCCCCUUUGGUCCGUGCAAGGACCAAGUGCUCUCUACGGGCUGAUUCUUCGACACUCCAUCGCGGUGAAUCGCCCAGAACCGCUCACAAGCUUGACACGAGCCACCCACAAGAACUCUGGGCGGUAUUCGUGCCUCCAAACACCACCGAACUGUCUAGGUGAUGGCGAUCACUAAGAGUAACAAGCCAAGAACUCUCACUUGACCCAAACAAGGCACUAGAGAGUGGUGGAUGCACACUUGACUCUUGGAAUUCAACUAGAGAAGGAUUCUCUCAAGAAAUCACUCAAAUCUCUAUCCUCUCUAGGCUCUUGCUUCUCUCUUGCUCCACAACAAAUUUCUCAGAUGUUCAAAUGGGAAAGAGACCUCUCAUGGAUGAGGUGGAGGAGUAUAAAUACACCUCACGAAGUCCAAAGGUCAGCCAACCGUUUUCCACUGAAAAUGGGGUCACUGGACGCUGUUGAUGUUGCACCGGACGCUCUGCACCGAGCGUCCGGUGAUACUUCAACGACUAACUGUACUGACUCUGACAGGUCACUGGACGCUACUUUCCAGCAUCCGGUGGCACCGUCCGGUGCUCCAGGGAGUUUUACAAACUCCCUGAGUUUAAGACCGGACGCUACCCGGUGCGUUCGGUGCUAGCAUCCGGUGCUCGGGGCAGGUUUACAACCUCCCUGGGUAUGGGACCGGACGCUGCCUGAUGAGUCCGGUGCCAGCGUCCGGUGCCUAACCCUAAGCACCGAAACCUCCCAACAGCUAAGGACCUCACCAGACGCACUCACAGAGCGUCCGGUGCCUACUUAGGCACCGUAACUUCGUCGAAACGCGAUCGUUCCAAAACGAAGUUGGUUCCUCUUGAUCUAAGGACUAACUCUGAGCUGCCUAGUGCUAGGUUUACCAAGUGUGCACCACACGUAAACCUAAAGCCUUGCCUAAGUCAAGCUACUAGAUCAAAGCCCCUCUUAAUAGUACGGUCAAUGGAAAACAAAGUCCUAAAGUACUCUAAGUGCCCUUCUUCACCAUAUGGCACUUAGACCUAGUUUAGUCUUGACGAUAUCCAUCCAUCCUUUGAAAACCGAAACGAUUUCCACUAUUAAGUAGGCAUGUACGUCCCUGUUCAUCGAGUACCUAUUACCAUGACCUCACUCGUGACUUUGCCUCUGCAAAACACACGUUAGUCAUAGUAAUCAACAUUGUCAUUAAUCACCGAAAUCAUUAGGGGCCUAGAUGCUCUUUCAAAUGGAAAAGGUGCAUAUAAUUUACUACUGGGGAGAGAUUGGAUUCAUGCCAAUUGUUGUAUUCCUUCUACAAUGCAUCAAUGCCUUGUUCAGUGGGUAGGUGACAAGAUUGAGAUUGUCCCGGGAGAUUCUUCAUAUGUCAUUGCAUCGGUAGAAUCAGACAUCUAUGAGCGGACUAGAUGCAUAUGAGGAGAGGUUUGGGAGAAAGAUUUCCUCAAGGUUGCCGAUUAUGAAAUUCCAUCGAUCUAAGCAGUCGGUUUCGAUGAAGAGUUUUAAUGGAUAGGUUCGACGAUGAUGGAAAUUUAGGACAGGGGUUUACAUCGGCUGAUGAUUUAAUAGAAGUAGAUAUAGAAAGUGGUGAUAGGCCUAGGCCUACUUUUAUUAGUGCUAUGUUAAAUUUUGAAUGUAAGCAGCAAUUAACUGAUUUGUUGAAGGAAUAUAAAGAUUGCUUUGCUUGGGAUUAUACCGAGAUGCCUGGUUUAGACUGAUCUGUUGUUGAACAUCGGUUGCCUAUUAAGUCUGGAUUUAGGCCACAUUAGCAACCAGCAUACUGAUGUAAUCCUAAUAUUCUUCCUCAUAUUAAGGCUGAAAUAACCAAACUCAUUGAAGCCAAGUUUAUUCGGCAAUGUCGGUAUGUCGAAUGGAUUUCUAAUGUUGUUCCUGUCUACAAAAAGAAUGGAAAGCUUUGGGUUUGCAUCGACUUUAGGAAUCUCAAUAAAGCUACGCUGAUAGAUGGUUAUCCAAUGCUAGUUGCCGAUUUGUUGGUUGAUGCUGCGGCUGGACAUCAAAUUAUUAGUUUUAUGGAUGACAUUGCAAGGUACAAUCAAAUAUUCAUGGCUGAGGAAGAUAUUCCCAAAACUGCAUUUAGAUGUCCUGGCCAUGUUGGGUUGUUUGAGUGGAUAGUCAUGACUUUUGGCUUGAAGAAUGCUGGCGCUACUUAUCAAAGGGCCAUGAAUUUUAUUUUUCAUGAAUUCAUCGGCAAGUUGGUGGAAAUCUAUAUUGAUGAUGUGGUGGUUGACUCUAGAGAUUUCAUAAAACAUCUAGCCGAUUUGCGAAAAGUGCUGGAGUGCACAAGGAAGCAUGGUUUGAAGAUAAACCCUAAUAAAUGUGCAUUUGGUGUAUCGAUAGGUCAGUUUCUGGGUUUCAUGGUGCAUCAAAGGGGGAUUGAGAUUAGCAGAAGAUCCAUUGAUGCAAUCGGCAAAGUAGUUGCUCCUACCAAUAAAACUGAACUUCAGUCCUUGGUCGGCAAGAUUAAUUUUAUCAGACGAUUUAUAUCCAAUUUGUCGGGUAAGAUCCGAGCUUUCAGCCCUUUGCUUAAAUUGAAAGCCGAUUAGGAGUUUGUGUGGGGAAAAGAGCAACAGCUGGCCUUGGAUGAAAUUAAGUGUUAUUUGGCGAAUCCUCCAAUCUUGGUUCUACCUCAGCAUGGAAAGCCUUUCAGAUUAUAUUUAUCUACCGAUGAUGCAGUCAUCGGUUCAGCUCUCAUUCAAGAAUUUGAAGGGAAAGAACAUGUAAUUUACUAUCUGAGUAGAAGAUUUGUGGAUGCUGAGACAAGGUAUUCGGCCAUCGAGAAAUUGUGCCUGUGCUUGUACUUUUCUUGUAUCAAGUUAAGACACUAUUUGCUAUCGGCCGAAUGUACUAUUAUAUGCAAGGAUGAUGUAGUCAGAUACAUGUUGUCGAUGUCGAUUAUGAGUGGUAGAAUUGGCAAAUGGAUACUAGCAUUAUCAGAAUUUGACCUACGUUAUGAAUCGGCUAAAGCAGUUAUGGGGCAAGUUAUGGCCGAUUUUGUUACUCAGCAUUGUGGUGUGGUGGAUGCUUUGAAGAUUGUUCCUUGGACACUCUUCUUUGAUGGAUCUACAUGUGAUCGAGGGGUAGAUAUCGGUAUAGUGUUGAUUUCUCCUCGAGGAAAGAAAUAUGAAUUCUCUUUACCGAUCGUUGCUACAUCGAUGAAUAAUCAAGCUGAGUACCAAGACCUAGUCAAAGGGUUAGAAUUAUUAAAAGAGGCUCGCGCUGAUGCUGUCGAAAUCUUUGGUGAUUCUAUGCUUGUUAUAAAUCAGUUGGCUAGGAGUUAUGAAUGCUAAAGUGAAGUUUUGAUAGCAUAUUAUGAAAGGUGUGUACAAUUAUUAAAGGGAUUCAGGGAUUUCCGAUUAGAGCAUAUUCCCUAGUUGCAUAAUGAAGAAGCUAACUGGUUCGCUCAACACGCCUUGGGAUAUAAACCCAUCUUAGAAGUAUUAUCGGCAAUCACUACCGAUGAUUGGAGAAAAAAAAUUAAUGAUUAUUUGAAAGAUCCAUCUAAGAAAGUUGAGAGACGUGUUAGAUUUCAAUCUACAAAGUAUGUGCUUCUUGAUGAGGAAUUAUAUUAUCGUACAGUAGAUGGAGUUUUGCUUAGGUGUUUAAGUGUUGAUGAGUCCAAAAGCUUGAUGGGUGAAAUUCAUGAGGGAGUAUGUGGAGCACAUCAAUCAACUUUUAAAAUGAAAUGGAUGAUUAGAAGGAACAUAUAUUAUUGGCCGACUAUCCUUGAAGAUUGUUUCAAGUAUUUCAAAGGGUGUCAAGGAUGUCAGAAGUUUGGCAAUAUUCAAAGGGUGCCCGCAUCAGCUAUGAAUCCUAUUAUUAAACCUUGGCUGUUUCGGGGUUGGGCUAUUGAUCUCAUCGGUCAAAUUUAUCCGCCAUCCAGUAAAGGGCAUAAGUUUAUCCUUGUUGCCACUGAUUAUUUCACUAAGUGGGUUGAGGCUAUUCCUUUGAAGAAAGUGACAUCGACCAACAUGAUUGAUUUUGUAAAGGAGCAUAUUGUUUACCGAUUUGGUAUUCCCCAAACAAUCACUACCGAUCAAGGCACUAUGUUUACGUCAGGGGAGUUUGAUGAAUUUGCUAUCGGUAUGGGGAUUAAAAUGUUGAAUUCUUCCCCUUACUAUGCUCAAGCUAAUGGACAGGCCGAAGCUUCCAAUAGUGGAAUUAUUAAGCUCAUUAAGCAGAAGAUUGAGGAAAAUCUCAGACGAUGGCAUACUCUGUUAAAUGAAGCCUUAUGGUCAUAUUGGAUGGCAUGUCAUGGUUCAACCAAGGUGUCACCUUAUCAACUAGUGUAUGGACAUGAUGCAAUACUACCUUGGGAGAUUAAAACUGGUUCCAGGCGAAUGCUUUCUCAGGAUCACUUAACUGCCGAUGACUAUGCUACUCUGAUGAAAGAUGAGUUGGAUGACUUGGCAGGGCAUCAGUUAAAAGCUUUAAUUAACAUAGAAGAGAAUAAAAAUAGAGUGCCUAGGUGGUAUGAUAAAAAGGUAAAGACCAAGGAAUUUGCUGAUGGGGAUUUGGUUUGGAAGUUGAUUCUACCGAUUGGGACUAAAAGUUCAAAAUUUGGAAAAUGGUCUCCUAAUUGGGAAGGUCCUUAUCGGAUAAGUCGAUCCGCCCCUAGCAAUGCUUAUAUUUUAGAAACUCUUGAAGGGGUUGAAUUUCCCAGAGCAUUGAAUGGGAAAUAUUUAAAGAAAUACUACCCUAGUAUCCUGAUCGAUGCAUAAUAGUUUAAGUGCCGAUAACAAUCCUAUCGGCUGGACAAAAUAUCAAUGUAUCUAAGACCGUGCAUAAAUAGUUUAAGUGCCAGUAACAGUCCUAUCGGCUGGAUCAAAUGACUGAAGUUUUAAGAAGACUACCCAUGCUACCAAUGAAAGAGUUUAUAAAUUCAGCAAGGCUCGGAUGGCCGAUGUUGCACACAGGCGAAUCUAGUUGGCCUCUUCUAUCUCUCGGGUAUCUUCAUCGGCGGAACCUUGCACUGGCUUUAGCUUCUUCUUCAUUUGUAGCGCCUUGCAAGCUUGGGCAUCCCUUUCUUGCUGGAGAUUCUUGAGUGCAUCGGGCAGUUGACUUUCCUCCUGUUUGGCUUGGGUCAAAGCUUCCUCCACUUGUUUGAGUUCAACAAGCAAGGCUUCUCUUCUUGCCGAUAGAUUGGAGAUUUUCUAUUUUAGUCCAACACCUAAAGUUUGCAAAGCGCUGAUGCUUUUGUGCUUCUCAUCGGCAGCACGCUUCACUUGCAGCAUCUCCUCUUUAAGUUGAGCAUGAGUGGCUCUAUUAGCAAGGUGUUGAAUGGCCUUCUGGUACUGAAGUUGGUGGCUCUCUAGGUGGGCAGCUUGAAAGAGAAUUUCUUCAGCAUCGACAGGGAUCUGACCACGAAGAGCCUUGAAGAUAGCUUUGGCUGGAUCGGAAUCAUCGACUAGCUGGGCUGUGUCCUGCUGCAACAGAGCCAGAAAUCUUCUAGCUUGGACUUGACUUCUGCCGAUGCAAUUCCAAGUGCCAUUGAAGAGCUUGCCUCUUCACCAUCGUCAUCAGAAAUGUCGAUGGCAAAGGAGAACAAGCUAUCAGGAGAGUCUUGUUCCUGGAAGCAAGGGAGAGUGAGUUGCACGGCAUAGGAUACCGAUGAUAUAAAAUCUAAUGAAUUGGGUGACUUACUUGUUUUAGAGCAAUCUCUUGUAUCUGGUGUGGAGAUGGAGCUUGCGCUAUAAUUUGACCGGCUGGAGCUGCUGAUGGAGUAUCCUCAACUAAAAAUUACCAAGAGUGAUGAUGGUACUUAUAAAAAUCAUUGGUAAUAAUUUUGUGAUCGAUAUCUUACCUUGAGGAGGGAUAGCAACUGUUUGCUCAGGGGAAACGGUCGAUGAUGUGCCCAGAUCGACUAGGUCGGUGAUCUGUUCAAAUACAUCAGCUGGGUCUACUUGCGUCUGGGGCACUGAUUGAGGAGGAGAAGGUGCUGCUUGGAUCUAGGGUGCUGGAUGAGGUGGAGAAGAUAGUGGUGUCUUUUGCCGCUUUGGCUGGGUCUUGGUGCUUUUUGGGGCUUUCCUCUUGGGUGGAGCUUGACCAGACUGGGGGGCAUCGACACCCGAAGAUUGAGUGCUUUUGGUCUUUGCCGCUGCGCCGGUCUGCUGUCACAAAAAUCGAAGUUUUAUGGGUUAGAUAUAAAAGUAGAGAGAUAUUGCUGGGAUUUGAGAGAAUAAAGUGCUUGGUACAAGACAAAGUUACUGAUGACGUUCCAAUCGUAGCUGAUGCACCCUGAAAGAAUAAUGUGAAUAUGAGAUGAAAUCGGCAUAAUAAAAGGAAAAUUUGAAGAUUUUACCUUAAAGGCCUGAGCCAGUGUCGCGGCAGCUACCGAUGGGGAUGUUUUUGACCGUUUGGUGGUCUUCUUGAAGCGAAUGUUUCGGUGCAUCAGAACUGCUAAGCUCGAGGCGUUGUGACCGAUCAGAGAGACUGGACCUGAUGGGAGAAGGUCAAUCGGCCUCCCACUUCUACUUACUAUUGGUGCUGGGUCGUCAACCUGUUAAAAUAAAAGGGGGUAAGUUACCGAUCAAGUUAAAGUUAAACAAAAGGACUGAAGUAUCGUGAAGGGACUUACAACGUCAUCGGGGACUUUGUGCUCGGGAUCGACCAUGUUGCGGUACAUGUGAGCCGAUACCUUGAACAGAUGUUGUUUCCAUUUUUUUUCCCAUCACUGUUUUGUAUGACUGAGUGAUGAAAAGGGAUGGAACCCAAGCCGAUAGAUCAAUAUCUAUUGUAUCAGCAUCUGGCUGGAGCUGAGCUAUUCUGAUCCACUCAAGUCCACUUGUUAUUACCUCCCUUGGCUUAACCACAUCGGCAUAACAAAGUUUAAUCGGUAGCUUACCAAAUGCCAUCUGACGAGCUAGUGCCAAUGGGUUGUAGAACUCAUAGGUUGUGUUGGUGUUCUUUCCGCUACCCAAGUUGUUUACUAGGAUUUCUCUUCGGGUAAUGUGCCAUCAUCAGAUCAUUGUCCUUGUUAAGAGCGUCAUCGGUAGGAUGGAAAGUGAGUGGGAAUCUAGACUCUGCAUCUUCGUAGGGCAUCCAGGCUUGUUGAUCUUUGGAAAGGACAUCAUAUAGUGUUUGAAAGAAUCGACUGAUCUAGUUCUCAUUUGCAUCGGUACCAGGGCGAACUAUGAUGGCUUCGCCAUAAUUGAGGGGCGAGCGUGUUGCCGAUUCAUCCUCUGCUAGUUCAUCAUCCUCGGCAAUAUCUCAUGGGAACCACUGUGUGAAGAAUCCCACCGAAGGCGCUUAUGCAUAUGAGCGUUGGGCCACAUGUUAAUAAAUCACCAAGGACCUCCUAGGUUGCCGAUGGGUUAACCUAGUAGGAGUUUCUCGGCUACUUAGUGGAGGAGGUGAUAGACAGAACCAAGCAGAUGUCGGCCAAGGGGGAAUUGGUUACCAUUAGCUAGUCGCUCUGCUGCCGAUAAGUAGCCACAGAAGAUGAAUUUGUCUAACCACAUAUUCAGAAAGAUGGCGUGCUCUCUGUGGCCGACCGAUCUAGUUUGCCGAUAUUUCUGGACAUAUCCUGACCAACCGCCGAUGUUACGAGUUUCUACCUUAUAUUCAGAUUUGUGGUUGAAGAUACCACCGUCAUCAGCAAGGAUGAUGUCCAAGCCAAUAAGCAUAACAAUAUCAACAAGUGUGGGGGAAGCUGGGCCGUGUCCAAAAAUGAAGGCGUUGAAGGUAUAUGACCAGAAGUAUGAGGUUGCUAUCAUCAUUGAUUCAUUCUUUUCCAUAUCGGCAAUGGAAAGCCUGACGCAUUGGUCCAGUUUGCGUUCACCCCAGUAUACUUCGUUUGUCUUACUGACUCUCAGAAACCAGUCUUUCCAUCCCUUAGUGGGUUUUGGCCAGGAUCGGAAAGUAUCAUUCCAUAGAUCUAAGGAAAAGUUCUCGGCUCUAAAAGUAAUCCUAUUAGUUUCUGCAUUAAUUAGAUCGGUGGGGUCUGGAUUACCCAUUGGGUCGAGACAUUGGAGCUGGGGUUGUUCAGUAGGAAUAACAAUUUUUUCACUCAGAUCCUAGUGUUUGGAGAUCAAAAGAACAUGAAAAAUGGGAAGAAAAUGCUAAGUAAAUAAAGUUGCAGAAAGGAAAGAGUUGCAGUAAAAGAAAGGAGAGAUGGGGGUGGAUUAACCUCAGGAACAAUAAAGUUGAUAGCCAUUUCCUGCUGAAGAGAAGAAGAAACCGAAUAUUUGAAGACUCUAGGAGGGCUUUGCUGUAGGAGAGCUUUUCCACUGCUGAGGUCCUUGAGCUCUUCGUCAAUGUCACCGCCGUGAAGGUGAGCUUGGGGAUGGAGAAUGGCAUGGUAAAGAAUGAAUACUAGGGAAGGAGGUAUUUAUAGGUUGAAAUGAGCAGGGGCAUUUUUGACUUAUCUCUUUGCCGUAUCCGUGAAGUUCGAGGUUGUUCAAAUGGAUAUAGUAACUGUUAGCGCGAUAAUCAAGGGAUGGUACAGGUGAUUUGACAGCAAGUAAUCAUGAUUUUAGGAGAUAUUCCACUGUACAUGAUCUUUUGGUUGGUCCAUCGGCAGUCAACCCUAACAGAACGGUUGUCGAUGAGCGUGUUUUUAUGAGUUUCAGUUCGGAUGGUUAAGGAUGUGAGAUAUUCACUAGGAUAUGGAAGUCAGAAUUGAGGUUGUUUAGGAUUUGGUAAUUAAUUGUUACCAGAAGGAAAUAAUUAUGAAAAGGUCGUCAUCAAGAGAUAAUUUCAGAGCAUUAAUGAUUUCAUACUCCGAAAUUGGGGGGCAUGUGUUGACACCGGUUUUGGGCACAAGUCGGGAUGGUCAGAGAAACUUGAUCGAUAGUCAAGGAGGUGCUGUAUCUAGCUGAUAAAAAGAUUAACGAUAGUUGAUGAUGCCGAUGACGGGAUGAUGGAUGGAAGAUGAUGCUAAGCUUGACGGUAGCCGAUGAUCAUUGCUGAUUGAUUACCGAUCUUAGUGAUUACCAAUGCCGAUGAAGAAAGGUAUGUCGAUGAUGAUGAAAGGAUACAGGGAGCAUGUCGAUGGUAAUGGAGAAAGAUGGCGAUGGUGAUGUGCCGAUCACCAGGAUAGGUAGGUGGUUAUUUUCCAUAUUUGUUAGAGUUUCCUUUGUGUAGGAGUCCUGUUUGGUUUAGAAUUAAAUCCUAGUCAUAUACGGUUGUAAUUCUUUAGAAUAGAGUAUAAAUAUGGGCCUAGUAGCAAUGUAAGAAGACAAUUGUAACAUCCCCGAUGUUACAGUUAUUAAAACUGGAUCAUGUCAUCAUGAGCAUUGCAUCGCAUAUUGAUUAAGCACCAUUUGAUGCAUCAAAUUAAAACAAGUUUACUUUGAUUGCUUGUGCUUAGGGAAUUAAAGUGUGUUUGCCAGGUGUAUUGAAGCUAGUGUGGUUGUGAAAUUCCUAGGGUGGAAGGUUUCCGAGAAAAUAGGGGGGAAAAACCCUGAUUUUAGAACCCUAGAUUUGCCCCCUUUUGCACAAUUUAAAAACCAAGAAAAAUUUGAGGUUGAGUUCAAAAGCAAAGUUGUAGAUCUUGUCAAGAUGUACAACUUUGGUGUUCUGAGUUUUUGAAGUUUCAAUACAAAAUUCAAAGUAAUUUUGAAAAUACAGAUUUCUAGAAAGUGUCCCCCUUUCCAAUUUGAAUCCCCAAUUCAAAAUCUAUUUGGAAUCUUGAAAAGUGACCAACAUGAAAGUUGUAGAGCUCAACAAAAGGAACAACUUUGAUUUUGGGAAUGUUUCAAGUUAUUGAGAAAAAUCAAAAGUAAUUUUAGAAUUUCUAAUCUGCCCCAAUUCAAAAUUGGAAUUUCCCCAAUUUGAGAUUUGAAAUUCAAACUGUUUUGCUAAAUUCAAGCUCUUCCACUCAGAAUUAGUUUUGGGCACUUAAAGAUGUUUUGUAGCUUGUAAAAUUCUGCACAACUUUCAUUUUGGUGAAAAUUUGGCUCCAGUUCAACUUUUGGGAGAAUUUUGCAAAACAACAAAAUAAUUGGAUAUGGCUUGCUACAGUGCUCGAGCAGGGGGGAUGCACUGCCGCCGGGGCAGAGCUGCUGCGUCCAGCGCCGCCACGCACCUGGCCACACAGCUGCUUGCUUGCUGGGCGUCGCCCUGGCGUCCUCAUCCGCAGCAAGCACUUCGUCGCGUGGAUAAAACCCCGAGCCGCCGUGGAAAAACUUCCUCUCCCUCUGAACUCCGACAGCGACAAGCUCACUGCGCUCUCGAAAUUCGUCUUCCUCGCUCCCUUGCAAGCCACCAGAGACCCCCCAGCAGCUCCGCCCUGAACCCAGCCACCGUUUGUGUAACACCCCAGUGUUAUGGUUGCAUCAAACAUGUGCAUAGCAUGAGCAUCAUCAUUUAUUCAAAGCAUCCAUGAUCAUCAUCUAUCUUGAGACAUGUCAUUCUUUGCAAAAAUGUGUUUUAAAUUGCUUAAAUAGGCUUCCUAUGCUUAUGUUUGAGUGAACAAUGCUUGUGUUUGUGCUUAAUGCCUUGGUAAAUAGCUUAUCUAUGCUUAACUUAACCUUGGGAACAAUGUUCAUGUUGAUCACUUCUCCAAAAUAAUCACUUAAGUCAUACUUAUGCAAAUAGGCCCUAGAAACCUCUUUUGCUUAGGCUUUUAAAAAGUGUUUCAUAAAAUGUUUGCAUGUCAAAACUUCCUACAGCAAAGUUGUAGCAAAUUUUAUAAGGAACAAAAGUUGUUUUAUGGCCAUCUCAUGAAAAUGAUCACAAAUAGCUCAAAAGUGGCCCACAAGGCAGAUUUGGGGCUGUUUUCAACACUUAGAAAAUUUUCUAAGUCCUGGGUGCUUCGCAGUUUGCUCGAUCGAUUUUGGAAACUCUAUAUCUUUCAAUCCAGGCCGAUCUGGCCUUUGCUCUAGUUGACAAAGUUGUAGAUCUCGCCUAGUACUCCAAGUUUGUCAACUACGCCAUCUCCUAAUUCGCUCUGGUUUGGGAGAUAAUCACCGGUGAAGUCGCUCUGUCAGUCGGCCAAUGCUCUGCCUGAAUCGUUUUGGACCUCGCCGACGUGGCCGACCGGCGGCAGCACAACGGCGACAAUUGGCACCCGUACGCCGUUCCUGGCCCCGCCUGUCAGCCCUCAUCGCGUGCAUGACCUCCACGGCGUCGCCCGCGCAGAGUGGACGCGUCCACUUCGCUCCUCCUCGCCUCCACUCGCCUGAACCUCGCCCGCAGCGAGCUCUCCGCCGCGAGCUCACUCCGGCGAGCUCGUGUGCGCUCCUCUCUGCGUCUCCGUCCACCAAACUCCACCCAAAGCUCCGCCGUGAGCCGCUCUCCAAGCUCCACCCUCUAACUCGCCGAGAAACCCACCGGUGAGCCGACAUUUCUUUCUUCCCCCAAAUCGGUCCGCCGUGACCAUCUUCUCCGGCGAACUCAAUGCCGAGCGCUGUGAGGCUUCUCAUCGUCUUUGGUUAGGUCCUAGAGGUAGCUUAGGUCAUUAGCGAGCUUUUGCACCACCUGGUGGACGCUCUACCGGGUUCUCCGUCGCCGGACACGGUGCGCAGCGCCGCCGUGCUUCCGCCGGAGUUGGGUGCUCUCGUGGCCAGCGCUUUCCACGGGGAUCCAGGCCAAGCCGCGUACCUAGGAAGCUUCGCCCUAGUCUGCUGGUGCUGUAGAAGGCCUUAGGUCACGCUCUACCGGCCUGAGGACUCCGGCGUAACGCCGAGCACCUCCGCCGAGCCGCCAUUGCCGACGGUGAGCCCCUUCCGGUGGCUCCGCCGCGGCAAAAGUGGGGUCAAUCGAGUCGUUAGGGUUUGGGGAUCACGUUGAUGCCCUGGGUUUGGCCGGAGACCUCGCCGUCGCGGAGAAAUCGCCGGCGAAAGUCGCCUCGGCCGUGAGGAAGAAGAGCCUGACGGGUGGGACCCACUGUCAGCGUCUCUCUUUCCCUCCUUUUCUUUUAUUCAAAAUCCUGAUUUUGGCUUUCUUGCAAAAAUCAUAUCUCCUGUUUCUGAGAUCCAAAAAUUGUAAAACAAAUUUUGUGUUGUUUCUUGAGAUGGCUAGUAUUUAAUAAAAAUAUAAAAUGAAUCAUGUUUUCUGAGAAAUUAUUUAUUAAGAAUUUAAUCUUGUUAUUUAUGGAUAAAUGCAUAUCUCUGGUUUUACUGAUUAGUUUGCUCUGAAAAUUUUAUGGUGGCCUUUGCAUGGCAUUAGCGUGCUCUGAUAAUUAUUUCAUGAUUUUUGGAGCACUGCAGUUGUGAUAUGUAAUUUGUGUUUGAAAUAGGGCUUGUUUCUUUGAUUAAAUCACAUAAAAUAAUUGGUGCUUAUGCUGGUGCUCUAUUUUGGUGGUAAACUUGUUUAUGGUAUUCCUAAGAUAUAAAUAAUCUGAAAUCUGUUGUUUGACACUAUAUAAGUCAUGUCUAUGAAUUUAUGAAAUAAAUGCCUUGAUACAUGUUAAAUGCAUAUCUUUAAUUUGGCAUGUGCAUUGGUCCUGAAAUUUUUAUGGUGGUAAUCUGAGGUUAUACUUGUGCCUCUGUAAUUUUUGUAGAUUUUUCUGAGCACUUUAACUAAUAUCUUGUAAAUAUGCCUUAUCUAAAAUUAAUUAAUAAAUGCCUUGUUAAGUAAUUGUUUUGGGGUUUUCAACUGAUGAUCUGGUGACCUUGUAAUAUGUUUGUGCUCAUGAGUCAUAUGAUUGGCAUAGUUUGUGUUUUGAUCAUGUCUUUAAAUAAUUAACUAUAGGGUUAAAUGCUGUUCUGGACAGCAAGUGAGUAAUUUAACUUUGCUUAAUGAUAACUUGACUUUCUGUGAAACUUGUAUAAAACAAAGUUGUUUUAAACUUGUUGAACUAACUGUGGUUUAAAUUUGAGGUCAUUUGGCCAAGUAGUUUAAAAGUUAUAGCUGUUCCAAGUUGGGUUCCAGAAAUAGUGGUUCUCUGUUUUUCUGGGACAGAACCUGGAACUUUGUUAAAAUGACUAGUUUAAUGUUUGAAUCUUGCUGUCAUGUUUAAAGAUGAGUUGUAGACAAUUUCCUAAGCUUUCCAGAAUGUCCUUACUCAUGUUUGUUGGACCUGUCUAUCUAUACUUAUGAUUUAUUUACUGAGCAUACUUGUUUUGUGUCGUUUGCUGCUUUGGUGCCAUGAUAGGUUUUGGGUUAUGUUAACUUGUUUAUUCAUGUGAGUUAGUAUAACUCUUGCUCCGUAAAUGAGUGUCCAGUGAGUUGCUUGUGUUAUUAAGCAUUCAUCUGUAGCAUGUGCACCUUCUCAUUCAUCGAGCAUGCAAUAGGUGCACCGGACGUGGCAGUUUCCUUCGAGCUCCAAGCGAACCCCGAAGGCCAGGAAGGCAGCCAGGAGGUGGAGGUCCAGCAAGCCGGACUCGAGGAGCCCGAAGAAGAAGUUGAGUGCCCGAAUCACGAGCCGGCAUCGUUUGUGAAAGGCAAGCCCCGGAGCAUUCUAAGCCUCCUCUAUUUUCGAAAGUUUACUUAAUACGUUAUAUCUAUUGAUGCAUUACGUAUAGGAGUUGUGAUGAAACUAUUGCUGCAUUCUACUCUAUCCUUGUCCAGAUAACUCACCCUCCCUGGUUGUAGAGUUAGGUUCGAGUAGCAGCUUAGUUAUGCUUUAAUCGGUAGAAGUCGGGUGAUAUCCUGUCAUCCGCGCGAUAUAGGGUUGUGUCGGGUCACGAUGGUCUAUAUGUGCUAUCGUGGAUGGAACCUGGUUAAAUUGACUUAAGCCGGGCGGAGUUUUGCAAGUAUGUAGUAACUCCGUCUGUGGCAGCUAAGGACCGAUCGUUGUACGUCCUCUUGUCAUGUUGAACGCAUGCCUGACACUUAGUUGGCCGGAUAACUCGUUCCGACCGCGAAGCCGAGUAGUAUGACUCAGGCCGGAAGACCGGCAAGUAUAAAGUGCGCACUACCGGAGGAAGUGCGGUGUGCGGGGGACCAUUGGCGUAUGUCCAAAGGCAGGUGAGUUAAAAUUCCUGACCUCCCUGGCAGAGUGGUAGCCCUGGGAGUGCGGCGCUGAUCGGAGCCGCGAUUCCUGAGUUGUACCAAAGGUGACCCGUUGGCUCUCCGGCAGGGGAUGCCUGGGUGAGUGCUAGGAAUAAUCCUCCAGCUGGAUAGGAAUUCGAUUCGAAUCGCCGUCUCUCCCGGUUAGUGAGAACUUGACAGAGCAGCGGCAAACGUAGCAUUCACUAAUGGACUUGGUUCAUGAUAAUGAUGAUAGCAAGAAGAACAUAUGAUGAAUUUGGUAUGGUUAUUAUUGUUUGUAAUAAUCAAAUGAUGUGUUGUAGUACAGGUGCUAAUCUAGUGGUAGGCUGAUGAUAAAUAAAUUUGAUGCUCUUAAAAUGAUUUAGUUGUAAGUUAAGCUUUUGGCAAAAGGUGAGUCAACCAGCUCCACUUAAAAUUCAGCCUUGCAUGAUCCUUGGUGUCUUUUGUGUUUUACUAGACGGGUAAGUCUAGCUGAGUACAUCCUCGUACUCAGGGUUUAUUCCCACCUGUUGCAGAUGAUAUCUUCUAUGACGGUUUCUGCAAGACCUGUCUCCAUCCCGCUGGGGAUGAGGACUAACCGUUGGGCACGGUUCUCUACUCUUCUCGUCUAUGAUGCUUUUGGAAGGAUGACCUAGACUCUGGCAGUAACAAACUUGCGAACUGAACUUUGAACAAGUGUGUGUAAUUAUUUUGCUUCCGCUACUUCGAACAAGUGUUGUAAUAACUUAAUACUCCGAUGUGGUGCCGCUUCGACGGCAAUGAAUGACUAUGUAACAUUCGUUGUGUUUAUGUUGAACUAUUACGAUCUUGGUUUGUUGCGAGUUGGUUUGAAGUCCUUCGUGAUUUCGAUUGACUACCGGGAUUAUAUGGGCUCAAGUUUAGAAACUUGAUUGUUUGACGAUCGUUUCUGCACUUGAACUCUUAUAAUUUGGUCGGUUCUGUGACAGUUUGCGCCCCCGAGCGCAAGCUCUAACCUGUCGUAGCUCCAACCCGAGCCACUCCUCUCCAAGUCCGGCCGAAGCGCCGUCGUGGGUAUUUCACCGCGGCCAGACCUGCUCCGAGCCUCCCCACCGCCGCUUCUUGCUCCGUUGAAGUCGCGGUGAGCCCCUGAAGCUUAUGCGCUGGUUGGUCCACGUUCUACCCGCUUGUGGAGGUCGGUGCUCGCUCGGGUAGUGUCACCGUCCACCGUGGACGCGAGUAGGAGGGUUAGGAGGGAGUAGGGGGUGUCCUGUGUGUCCUAGGCAAUGCGCAAGAAGGCGGAGAUGCUAGCUCGCCCUACCGCGGAGGCCGAGAGCUCACCGGCGGCAGGCUGGGCGAUCGCUGGAGCCACGGCGCGAGGAAGAAGACGGAGCUGACGGGCGGGACCCGCCCGUCAGCGACCGCGUGAGAGAGGGUGGUGUCCGCGCAGGACGCGGGAAGCGCUUGGGCCGGCUUGGAACGGGCGUAAGCGGGCCGGCCUCUUUCACACAGUGACUUUUCUUUUUCCUUUUGUGCAAAAUGGAGUUAUGUUUGAUUUCGAAUAGAAAAAAUUAUGCAGAUUCAAAAAUUAUGGGGAUUUUUAUGUAGCCUCUAUAAAAUGAGUAGAAUGCAGGAAAAAUAUUAGACUCCAUUUUCUGGUAGUUUACAUGUAUAUAAAAAAUUUCAUCCUAUAAUUAAUAAAUAAAACUUCCUGGAAUUUUAAUAAUUUAGGGGUAUAUCUAAAAAUCACAAAAAACUGAGAGACACCUCUGAAUAUUAUUCCCUGGCUUCACACAAAAUUUGGUGGCAGUUGGAUAAUGUUUGAAUAAAAUAUCAUUAAACCCUUAAUUAGUAAUUUCGUAAUAAUUUCAAAAUAAUUAAGUAAUAAUUAUCUUAAUCUCUCAAAAUAGAAUUUGAGUGCUUUUGGAUUGUGUGAUGCUUAGCCCUGCUACUAGAUAUGUUUUCAAACGAGAAAGUUUGAAGGGUUGUUAUGGAAUACUCUUAUGGUCAAUGAUGUUUCAACUUGAGACCGGUCGGUGGACUUGUUUUAAGAAUGGAGUCUUAAAGUAGUGUCUCCAACUGUGUCGAUUAAGGACCGGUCCGUUGAUGGCCUGCUGGGUUGAGAACUUAUAGUACUAGCCACUUGCCCUCGGUAAGCCCGGUCUUGUGAUCCCUCGACGCGAACGGCUACUCGCGCACUGGGUGUAGAGCGAUGGCGAGAGUAGCGUGUAUCCUCCUGGCAAAUGGGCUGGGUGGUGGGGUACUGUGCUCUCGGGUGCCGCGAACCUGGUCAAAUUUGGGGAGAGCUAGAUUUGGGUCGACAUAUGCAAGAUUUGGUUCUACAUAUGUCGGGUGGUUAGGAACUCCAGCUGGAUUGCUAAGCCAUUCGAAUCGUCGUUGCUCCUCGAUUGGGAGACUCAAUUCCUUCGAACCUCAUCGUAGUUAAAUAUGCAACUAAGUGGUAAAAUGAGAAAGGGGGAAAUGUCUCAUGAGGUUCGGAUCCCAAUUCCCAGACUCAGAGUGUCACGAAGCUAUGGCCGUUGGAUAGAUAAUACUUUGAUUAAGGACUAGGAACUUACAGACUUGUCUGUGAGAAGCAACUAGAUAGACUGUCCUCGGACUCCUCGACCUCUUAAGGAGAGGAAUUCGUGGGUAAAAUUUGAAAGUAAGGAUGCACUAUUAGUAAGCUUUUUGGCAAAACAAUUUGGCUCCUUGCUCAGCCACUCCUUGUCUACCCUAAGCCUACAUCCCUAAUUUCUCCUAUUUUUCUGCCGGGUAAGUCUUGUUGAGUACUCCCGUACUCAGGGUUUUAUAACCCCUGUUGCAGGUGAAGCUCAGGAGCCGACAUGUUUCGGACCCUGUUGUGUGACCGUCGUCGAGGUUGACGACGAGGAAGAGUGUGGGUGACCCAUGGGCAGGGUCUGUAAAUUUGUAAUCUGUGUACUAAAGUUUAAGUUGCUCCGCUGGACCUGGCUUGUAAUAACACUCUACUACUUAGAAGAACUACUUUUAUGAAUUAAGUUACGUAAUGCUUCUGUUGUUUCACUCUGAAAUAUUAUUUUGGUCAUAUGUCAUUUGCGAUACUGCAAUGUCUUCGUAACGAAUGAUCCUGGUGUUAAGGUGGCCACUCACUAUGCUGUAAGGGCGAGAAGAAGUUCUCGUUAAUUGACCAUCAUGAGUGGUCAGGACGAGCUUGGGUGAUACGCCACAGGUAGCGGUGGAACGAGCGUCCUGAGAUGCUCAUCGGACUUCUAAAGUGGGGGGAUCCCCGGCAUCACCAUCAGAGGUCCUUAGGACAAUAACAGGUGUCGGUGGACCCAAACACUUAGGAGGUUCCGCCACAGCUGGUAUCAGAGCAUUCGUUGCUAAGAUGACUGCUGUAUCUUUGAAAAACUUCAAAUCCAUUUGGAUCCAAUAGCUAUAAACUUGCCUAUUUUGAGUCCAAAUGCUCUAGUCCUACCUUACCCUUGUCUGUAGGUUUUGCUAGAAUUUUUGAGGUCAUGUGGAGGAGCAACAUAAAGUAUCGCCCUAUGUUGUAAAAGUUUUAAGUGAUAUCGUUAUGAAUUCCUAGUACGAAUCGUAAGUACGUGCAUGCAUCAUGAUAUGUCACUUGGCUAAAUUCCUCCCUCUUUAUUCGGGAUGGGUUGUAUAGAAUCAAUCCUAUUCUUGCUAACCUUUAAGGUCUCUCUUACUAAUCCAAACUUACCCUCUACAGGAUGGGCCGUUGGAAGCAAACCCCUCGCAAGAGAACUGGUCCUAAAGGGGUGCCUCGACACAAGUUGGCCCCGCGAAGCGAUCAAGCUAGCAGUAGCCGUUCCCCAUCUCAGCAGGAGAUGGAAAGGUUGUCAGCCGAGCUGACCGAAGUAACGAGAGAAAGGAUGUACAAUGUUAUGGAAAUUGGUGAACUCAAAGCUCAGUUAACAAAACAAAAACAAGCCAUCGAGAAUUGCGAGGCGAUGCUAUCCCGCAUGGUGGAAGAACGAAAUGCAGCUAUUGCUCGGGAAGAGGACGCCAGGAGCGCACAUAUGCAUGAGCUGACCAGAAUGAAGGCCAAGUUGACCAAAAACAAGUACACUAAAGAUCUGUAUAUAAAUAUGGUGGCCACUGUCACUACACAGAGGGACGUCGCAUGGCAGCGGGAGGAUCAGCUGCAGCUGGAGAAGCUCGAGCUGGCGCAUCAUCUAGACACCGUCAACGACAUGGCGAUGCAGUACCGUGAUAUUGCAUUCAACUUAUACCAUCAGCUUCAUCCACCUCUAGGUGAAGGGGAGAUGGACACUGACGGAGAGUUGGCAGAUGAUGGAGAGCCCGACCAAGAACCCAGCGACGAAGAGGAAUCUGACUCCGGCGACGACAACCCGGGGGAUGACCAUGGCGAUAACAACGACGACCCGGGCUACGGCUCUGACCACACCGACUAGUUCGGUGAAGUUGCGGGUGACGUCGUUAUAGGGUUCCUAGUCUACCGUAGUUGGGUCGGGUCUGUAGUAUAGUGUUUUUCUUUAUGUUCAAGAAGUUGUACUCGUUUGUUUCCAGUGUGCCGAACUGAUGUUUGAUAAAUAAACUGAAGUAUGUAAAAUAUGUUUUUGAGUAUGGGUUCCAAGUAGUAACGAGUACAUAUAAUUCUUGUAGCAGAUGCCGAUGCGCACACGUGGAUCUGAUGGAGCCGGGUCUUCUCAUGGAGGAGAGGACAUACCUAACCCUCCACCUGCUCCGCCUUCCCUAGCAGAUGCAAUUGCUGUUCUUUUGAGCGCCACUACCGACAAUGCUCGCUUGUUGCGCGAGCUAGCGCAGCGCCAACCCCACCCCGCCCCAAACUUCAGGGCACAACACAAUGGGGAGGGAGAAACUCGGUAUGUGGAUUUUACCGAGACAAGGCCACUAGUGUUCACCAAGGCUGAUGAGCCUUUAGAGGCUGAUGACUGGCUCCAGACAAUGGAGCAUAAGUUCGGCCUGAUUCGCUGUUUGGAGAUUCACAAGCCCCUGUUCGCAGCCCAACAGCUUCGAGGAGCUGCGGGGGCCUGGUGGGAAAAUUUCCUUGCUAUCCAAAGUCCAGGACACCAGGUCACCUGGGCGGAAUUUAAGGACGCGUUUCGCGCCCUUUACAUUCUAGAAGGGCUUAUGGCCAUGAAAGCGGAAGAAUUCCUCGCCUUGCAGCAAGGCGAUAAAAGUGUGCUGGAAUACGUGGCCAAAUUCAAUCACCUUUCUCAGUAUGCCAUGGACCAUGUGAACACAGAUAAAAAGAAGAAGGCCUGUUUUAUGCGUGGUCUCAAUACAAAGCUUCAGACUAUGAUGACCACAUGUCAAAAUGCUACUUUCUAUGAGGCGGUUAAUAUUGCCAUCGCCUCGGAAGAAAAGAAUAGAAAACACAAAGAAGCCAAGAAGAAGGCCACUUCUUCCUCCUUCUCUGGUCGCGGUCAAAAGCGCCAGAGGAUCAUUUAUCACCCACAGGGCUACGGACGCUUUCCAGCACCGCCACCUUUUCGUGGUCCCUUUUCUCCUCCACAGUAUAGACCCGAGCAGCGGGUCUAUCCUCGACCCACUGCCAUCAUCACUGCACCACGCCAGCCGAAUGCCACAGGUGUUCGUCCUACUGCUCCGCCAAACCACAAUUAUCCUUGCUACAAUUGUGGUAAGCCCGAGCAUUUCUCUAAAGAAUGCCCCUACCCUCGACACAAUAACCCCACUUUCCAAAGGCCGCCCAUUGGCCAACCCCAGCCGAGCCAAUUCAAAAAUGGGGCUCAGAAAGGACAGAAUGCACAAAGGGGUAAACCUGUAAAGAAGGUGGGACAAGUCUUCCAUACCGAGGUGGAAACAAUACCGGAAGGAGAACCGGUAAUGAUGGGUACGUUCCCUGUUGCAAAACAUGCUGCCUUAAUACUUUUCGAUUCUAGUGUAUCUCAUACCUUCAUCAACCGUACAUUUGUGAUGAAGCAUGCCAUAGACGUUCCCUGUUGCAAAACAUCCUGCCUUAAUACUUUUCGAUUCUAGUGCAUCUCAUACCUUCAUCAACCGUACAUUUGUGAUGAAGCAUGCCAUACCCAUUGGGGAAACAAAAGAUCAUUUUUAUAUACAGUCGCCAGGAGGAUGACUAAGUUCUAAAGAAAUGGUUCACCAGAUACCCAUCGAAUUUGGUGGGCAUAGUUUUCCCACUAGUAUGAUUGUCCUUAAAGAUCAGGACAUUGAUGUCAUACUAGGCAUGAACUGGAUGACACAACGAGGGGUUGUGCUAGACACCUUACAUCGAACCAUUAAGGUCCCAUUGCUCAAUGAGAAUUCUUACCUUCUGAUCCAAUUAGCUACUCCCAAAUGGGCAAUUGAGCAAGUUCAUGCCACUAAUGUGACUAAAGUCGAAAAUAUCCCAGUAGUUUGGGAUUUUCUGGAUGUAUUUCUUGAGGACCUACCAGGUCUGCCACCGGACUGGGAUGUCCAGUUCAGCAUAGAAUUGAAACCAGGGACAACCCCAAUAUCUCGAAGAGCCUAUCGAAUGGCACCGAAAGAACUGGCCGAAUUGAAAACCCAAUUACAAGAGUUGUUGCAAAAAGGUUUUAUUCAGCCCAGUUCAUAUCCAUGGGGUUGCCCAGCAUUAUUUGUGAAAAAGAAAUAUCAAACAUUAAGGCUGUGUGUCGAUUAUCGUCCCUUGAAUGAGGUGACGAUUAAAAACAAGUACCCAUUGCCCCGUAUUGACUUGCUAUUUGAUCAGUUAGCUGGGGCAAAGGUAUUCUCAAAGAUUGAUUUGAGGUCGGGAUACCACCAAAUAAAAAUCAUGCCGGAAGAUGUACCCAAGACGGCUUUUACAACCCAUUAUGGGCUGUAUGAAUACUUGGUGAUGUCCUUUGGGUUGACCAAUGCACCAGCCCAUUUCAUGUAUUUGAUGAACUCUGUCUUCAUGCCAAAGCUGGACAAAUUCGUGGUUGUCUUCAUUGAUGACAUCUUGAUCUAUUCCAAAACCAAGAAAGAACAUGCUGAACAUAUGAGGAUUGUGCUGACUCGUCUCAGGGAGCAUCAAUUAUAUGCCAAGUUCUGCAAAUGUGAGUUCUGGCUAGACAAAGUCCAUUUCUUGGGUCAUGUAUUAUCAGCGGAGGGAGUCGCUGUAGACCCAGGUAAAGUAGAAGAUGUUUUGAAUUGGAAGCCCCGACUACGGUACAUGAGGUCCGUAGUUUUCUAGGUAUGGUGGGAUAUUACCGCCGCUUCAUCCUGGACUUUUCAAGAGUCGCUAAGCCAAUCACGACCUUGCUCAAGAAUCAAACAAAAUUUGUUUGGUCAUCUGAAUGUGAGCAAGUCUUCCAGACUCUGAAAAGGUUAUUAACAACUGCACCUGUGUUAGCCCAGCCGGAUAUUGAAAAGCCCUUUGAUGUGUAUUGUGACGCAUCAGGAAUAGGGAUAGGCUGUGUGCUAAUGCAAGAGUGUCGAGUAAUUGCAUAUGCCUCCAGGCAGCUUAAACCACAUGAAGAGAAUUACCCGACCCAUGAUCUUGAACUAGCCACCGUAGUACAUGCUUUGAAGAUCUGGCGCCAUUAUCUGUUGGGGAACACUUUUCACCUAUACACAGAUCAUAAAAGCUUGAAGUAUAUUUUCACUCAAGCCGAACUUAAUAUGCGCCAGCGGAGGUGGCUAGAGUUGAUCAAAGAUUACGACCUCGAGGUGCAUUAUCACCCUGGCAAGGCGAAUGUAGUAGCUGAUGCCCUCAGUCGUAAGGCUCACUGUAAUUGUUUAACAGUGAAGCCUAAAGAUAUAACUUUGUGUCAAGAGCUAGAGAACUUGGGAAUAAAAAUGACUUCCCAAGGAAGCCUUGCCAAUCUAAAGAUUGAUUUCAAUCUUGAAGCUCAAAUCAUAGGGGCACAAAAAGAAGACAAAGGCAUGAAAUAUCUUAAGGAGAAAAUUUCUAACAGAGCACCCACAAACUUUAAAGUGGAUGAUGCAGGAGUAAUAUGGUUCAAAAACCGGUUAGUGGUUCCAAAGGUACCUGAGCUACAUCAGCAAAUCCUAGAUGAAGCUCAUACAACCAGAUAUUCUAUUCAUCCGGGGAGCAAUAAAAUGUAUCGGGACCUGAAGCAAAGGUUUUGGUGGACGAAAAUGAAGAUAGAAAUAGCCCGCUAUGUGGCCCAAUGCGAUACAUGCCAAAAGGUCAAAGCUAUUCAUCUCAAAUCCGCAGGAGAGUUGCAACCCUUGCCUAUUCCAACAUGGAAAUGGGAUGAUAUUAGUAUGUAUUUCAUAGUAGCAUUGCCCAAGACGGCCAAAGGCUUUGAUUCUAUUUGGGUCAUUGUAGAUCGUCUCACCAAAACGGCGCACUUCUUGCUUGUGAAGAUAUUAUAUCCUGCCUCCACCUAUGCUAAGAUUUAUUUUGAUCAUAUACUGAGUCUGCAUGGGGUGCCAAAGACCAUAGUGUUAGAUAGAGGCACACAAUUUGUCUCCCAGUUUUGGAGAUGCUUACAUGAAUCUAUGGGCACUAAGCUUUUAUACAGUACCGCCUACCACCCUCAAACGUGUGGGCAAACAGAAAGGGUGAAUCAAACCCUAGAAGAUCUACUAAGAUCUUGUGCCCUAAACUUUCCAGAUAAGUGGGAUGACUGUUUGCCUCUAGCAGAGUUUUCCUACAACAAUAGCUACCAAGAAAGUAUUAAGAUGGCUCCCUUCGAGGCACUAUAUGGCCGUCGAUGUCGGACUCCACUACACUGGUCGGAACCCGGAGAAAGAUGGUUCUUUGGAGUUGACUUAGUGAAGGAAACCGAGAACAAAGUUAGGCAAAUUCAAAAUAACUUAAAGGUUGCUCAGUCCCGACAGAAAAGCUAUACCGAUAAAAGACGUCGACCCUUAAGAUUCGCCAAAGGUGACCAUGUGUAUCUGAAAGUAUCCCCAAUGAAAGGAGUAAAUCGUUUUGGCGUUAGAGGCAAGUUAGCACCUCGUUACAUUGGUCCAUUUCCAAUCAUUGACCGGUGUGGACAGGUAGCUUAUCGCCUUAAACUGCCCGAACGAUUAUCCGGGAUACACAAUGUAUUCCAUGUAUCUCAGCUGAAAAAGUGUCUUCGAGUACCAGGCCAGGUUCAAGAUAUUGAACGUGUAGAACUUGAACCAGAUCUGACCUAUGCAGAAUAUCCUAUCUGAGUAUUAGACCAAAGAGAUAGAGUUACUCGAAGAACAACUACCAGGUGGUACAAGGUGCAAUGGAGCCAGCACUCUGAAGAAGAAGCCACAUGGGAAUCUGAGGAUUAUCUAAUGGAGAAUUUUCCUGAGUUCCAUGCUUCUCUUCAAGACAACAUCCGAUAAAAAGGAGGUGUACUCUACUGAAGGAAAAGGGUAGCCAAAGUCAUGUACUUAAUGUACAUAUAUGCUUAGAAUGAAUGAAGUAUUCUUCCCAAACUCCUUGUCUUAUGGAAAGGUUAAAGAUGAAAUAGCUUGACAAAUUUCCUUUUCCAUUACGCACCCUAAGGCUUUAAAUCUUGGGGACGAGAUUUAUUUAAGGGGGAAGGGCUAUAACAUCCCCGAUGUUACGGUUAUUAAAACUGGAUCAUGUCAUCAUGAGCAUUGCAUCGCAUAUUGAUUAAGCACCACUUGAUGCAUUAAAUUAAAACAAGUUUACUUUGAUUGCUUGUGCUUAGAGAAUUAAAGUGUGUUUGCGAGGGGUAUUGAAGCUAGUGUGGUUGUGAAAUUCCUAGGGUGGAAGGUUUCCGAGAAAAUAGGGGGGAAAAACCCUGAUUUUAGAACCCUAGAUUUGCCCCCUUUUGCACAAUUUAAAAACCAAGAAAAAUUUGAGGUUUAGUUCAAAAGCAAAGUUGUAGAUCUUGUCAAGAUGUACAACUUUGGUGUUCUGAGUUUUUGAAGUUUCAAUACAAAAUUCAAAGUAAUUUUGAAAAUACAGAUUUCUAGAAAGUGUCCCCCUUUCCAAUUUGAAUCCCCAAUUCAAAAUCUAUUUGGAAUCUUGAAAAGUGACCAACAUGAAAGUUGUAGAGCUCAACAAAAGGAACAACUUUGAUUUUGGGAAUUUUUCAAGUUAUUGAGAAAAAUCAAAAGUAAUUUUAGAAUUUCUAAUCUGCCCCAAUUCAAAAUUGGAAUUUCCCCAAUUUGAGAUUUGAAAUUCAAACUGUUUUGCUAAAUUCAAGCUCUUCCAUCAGAAUUAGUUUUGGGCACUUAAAGAUGUUUUGUAGCUUGUAAAAUUCUGCACAACUUUCAUUUUGGUGAAAAUUUGGCUCCAGUUCAACUUUUGGGAGAAUUUUGCAAAACAACAAAAUAAUUGGAUAUGGCUUGCUACAGUGCUUGAGCAGGGGGGAUGCACUGCCGCCGGGGCAGAGCUGCUUGCUUGCUGGGCGUCGCCCUGGUGUCCUCAUCCGCAGCAAGCACUUCGUCGCGUGGAUAAAACCCCGAGCCGCCGUGGAAAAACUUCCUUUCCCUCUGAACUCCGACACCGACGAGCUCACUGCGCUCUCCAAAUUCAUCUUCCUCGCUCCCUUCCAAGCCACCAGAGACCCCCCAGCAGCUCCGCCCUGAACCCAGCCACCGUUUGCACCCCCGAGCGCAAGCUCUAACCCAUCGUAGCUCCAACCCGAGCCACUCCUCUCCAAGUCCGGCCGAAGCGCCGCCGUGGGUAUUUCACCGCGGCCAGACCUGCUCCGAGCCUCCCCACCGCCGCUCCUUGCUCCGUUGAAGUCGCGGUGAGCCCCUAUAGCUUAUGCGCUGGUUGGUCCACGUUCUACCCGCUUGUCGAGUUCGGUGCUCGCUCGGGUAGUGUCACCGUCCACUGUGGACGCGAGUAGGAGGGUUAGGAGGGAGUAGGGGGUGUCCUGUGUGUCCUAGGCAAUGCGCAAGAAGCCGGAGAUGCUAGCUCGCCCUACCGCGGAGGCCAAGAGCUCACCGACGGCAGUCUGGGCGAUCGCUGGAGCCACGGCGCGAGGAAGAAGACGGAGCUGACGGGCGAGACCCGCCCGUCAGCGACCGCGUGAGAGAGGGGGGUGUCCGCGCAGGACGCGGGAAGCGCUCGGGCCGGCUUGGGCCGGGCGUAAGCGGGCCGGCCUCUUUCACACAGUGACUUUUCUUUUUCCUUUUGUGCAAAAUGGAGUUAUGUUUGAUUUUGAAUAGAAAAAAUUAUGCAGAUUCAAAAAUUAUGGGGAUUUUUAUGUAGCCUCUAUAAAAUGAGUAGAAUGCAGGAAAAAUAUUAGACUCCAUUUUCUGGUAGUUUACAUGUAUAUAAAAAAUUUCAUCCUUUAAUUAAUAAAUAAACUUCCUUGAAUUUUAAUAAUUUAGGGGUAUAUCCGAAAAUCACAAAAAAUUGUGAGAAACCUCUGAAUAUUAUUCCUUGGCUUCACACAAAAUUUGGUGGCAGUUGGAUAAUGUAUAAAUAAAAUAUCAUUAAACCCUUAAUUAGUAAUUUAGUAAUAAUUUCAAAAUAAUUAAGUAAUAAUUAGCUUAAUCUCUCAAAAUAGAAUUUGAGUGCUUUUGGGAUUGUGUGAUGACCUGAGGUCAUUAACCUUAAUGACCUUUGGCACCUAAUUAUUGUUUGAAGUUAAUACUUAAUUACUGUCAUUAGUACUUAAUUAAGAAUUAAUUAAGGUAAAAAGGUUUAAUAGUAGUUAAUUAAGGAUAAUUAGGAAUUGAGAAAAGUCUUAAUUUACUAAUGCAACCUCUUGGGUAAAAACACUAAGAUGAUAAACAACUUUAAUUACUGUUUAGCCUGUUUUUGCACCAAGAAGGAUAGUUGUACUCAACUCGGUCCUUCUUAAAUAUUUGUCAUACGCAUAUCAUGAGCAUUCAUCAUUUUGCGUAUAGUGCACGUGACCGAAGGAGCGACCGUUGAACCGAACCCCGAGGUCGGUGCUCCGUUCGAAGAAGUAGGAUCCGAGACUUGGGAAGUCUCCGAGGGUCCCUCAGCUCUGCAACCAAGGCAAGCCCCGAAUGCAUUAACCCCUCCUUGAAUGUUUUAAAUCUUUUAUCACUUAUGAAUUGAAAAUGCUGCAUUAGGUAGUUGAGAAUUGGGUUAACCUACUUGCUGCAUUUACUACCUUGAUAUUUGUUAUCUUGUCCUUGGCACCGGUUUUAUUUUAAAACUGCAUAGUGAUGCUUAGCCCUGCUACUAGAUAGGUUUUCAAACGAGAAAGUUUGAAGGGCUGUUAUGGAAUACUCUUAUGGUCAAUGAUGUUUCAACUUGAGACCGGUCGGUGGACUUGCUUUAAGAAUGGAGUCUUAAAGUAGUGUCUCCAACUAUGUCGAUUAAGGACCGGUCCGUUGAUGGCCUGCUAGGUUGAGAACUUAUAGUACUAGCCACUUGCCCUCGGUAAGCCCGGUCUUGUGAUCCCUCGACGCGAACGGCUACUCGCGCACUGGGCGUGGAGCGAUGGCGAGAGUAACGUGUACCCUCCUGGCAAAUGGGCUGGAUGGUGGGGUACUGUGCUCUCGGGUGCCGCAAACCCGGUCAAAUUUGGGGAGAGCUAGAUUUGGGUCGAUAUAUGCAAGAUUUGGUUCUACAUAUGUCGGGUGGUUAGGAACUCCAGCUGGAUUGCUAAGCGAUUCGAAUCGUCAUUGCUCCCCGAUUGGGAGACUCAAUUCCUUCGACCCUCAUCGUAGUUAAAUAUGCAACUAAGUGGUAAAAUAAGAAAGGGGGAAAUGUGUCAUGAGGUUCAGAUCCCAAUUCCCGGACUCAGAUUGACAUGAAGCUAUAGCCGUUGGAUAGAUAAUACUUUGAUUAAGGACUAGGAACUUACAGACUUGUCUGUGAGAAGCAACUAGAUAGAUUGUCCUCGAACUCCUCGACCUCUUAAGGAGAGGAAUUCGUGGGUAAAAUUUGAAAGUAAGGAUGCCCUAUUAGUAAGCUUUUUGGCAAAACAAUUUGGCUCCUUGCUAAGCCACUCCUUGUCUACCCUAAGCCUGCAUCCCUAAUUUCUCCUCUUUUUCUGCCGGGUAAGUCUUGUUGAGUACUGCCGUACUCAGGGUUUUAUAAUCCCUGUUGCAGGUGAAGCUCAGGAGCCGACAUGUUUCGGACCCUGUUGUGUGACCGUCGUCGAGGUUGACAACGAGGAAGAGUGAGCGUGACCCAUGGGCAGGGUCUAUAAAUUUGUAAUCUGUGUACUAAAGUUUAAGUUGCUCCGCUGGACCUGGCUUGUAAUAACACUCUACUACUUGGAAGAACUACUUUUAUGAAUUAAGUUACGUAAUGCUUCUGCUGUUUUACUCUGAAAUAUUAUUUUGGUCAUAUGUCGUUUGUGAUACUGCAAUGUCUUCGCAACGAAUGAUCCUGGUGUUAAGGUGGCCACUCGCUAUCCUGUAAGGGCGAGAAGAAGAAAUUCUCGUUAAGUGACCAUCACAAGUGGUCAGGACGAGCUUGGGUGAUAUGCCACAGGUAGCGGUGGAAUGAGCGUCCUGAGAUGCUCAUCGGACUUCUAAAGUGGGAGGAUCCCCGACAUCACCAUCAGAGGUCCUUAGGACAAUGACACGUGUCGGUGGACCCAAACACUUAGGAGGUUCUGCCACAACAAUCAAUCAAUAUCAUACACAAGUUUUACAUCUACUUUUCGACGACUUUGUAAACUCACAUAUUUUCCUUUUGUUUACGAGUUCUUAAGGAUUCAACGAGUAACACUCGGCGAAUUCUCGAGUUCCGCGUGAGUACCUCUUGGCCGUGACAUCCGGGCGCAUCGCCGUUGUCAGGACCAAAGUAUUCGAGUUAUCACCUUUGUUGAUUGGUAGGUCAAAUCGGCUGGCACGCCUCAACGUUUGAAUCAGGUAUUAGCCCUUUGUGUUUGCAGAUCCCUUUUUGCAUCAACAAAAAGUAAAUAGGGAAGAUAAAAUAUAUUAAAGCAUAAGUCAUACAAGAAAAUAUACAAAUAUAUACCAGAACUCUAAUGACUUCUCUAGAAGACUCCUCUAGAACACGGUCGUAGUGCCGCUCUCCCUAACUCUCAACUAGAACUAAUCUACUACAUUGGAAAAUUUAGCCUUAAUUCUCUAGAGUUGAGAGGUCAUCCAUUCGAGGGACGCCUCUACAUCUCCAUAAUGUGGUGCCCCUAGGGAGGGGGUCUGCCUCUUUAUUUAUAGCCUAGAAAAGCCUCCCACCUCUUCUAGACAGACGAUGUGGGACUAAUUCUUCCACCGUUUGCUCUGUUGGGCUAUUAUACAUCAACUUAUGCCUUCCAAUCAUCCCUCAUGUGAGCCCACUCAAGGGAGCAUCUUGGGGUGCCUCUCUUGGGUCUCUAUCAUGCCAUAUGAGCCUCUUCUCAUGUCAUGGGCCUUGCUUGGGCGUGGGGCCCAUUAGUGGUAAUUCUCCUUUAUUUGUAAAAUUAAUAUCUUUUUACUGCAGACUCCAAAUAUAGCAAACGAUAUAUCUGUUUCGAUCAUCUCGACGAUCCCAUCGCAAUGGUGUAGUCCAAAUAAUCAUUUGACAUACUUUUAUUUGAUGGAAAAUUGCAUAUUCCUACAAAACAAGUGAGAACACCAAAACUCGUUGAACUCGUUAGAAUCAAACCCUACAACUAUGCUUUGUGAUUGAUAUCCUGUUAUAUUGAGCAAUAGUUGAUGGUAUAAAAUAGGCAUUAAGGACCGUCAACAAUGCACAACAAAAGCCAUCAUCUAUGCGGAGCACGCCAAGAUUGUCCUAUCCAUCAAGGACAAGAAGGAGAGAUUUGCAUUCAAGAACCGUGUCCUGAAAGCUCCUGCAGCCCCGAAGCAGUUCUACCAAUAAGGAAAGCAAGAACAACAAUUAGUGCCAAAGAAAAGAACAAUAGAAGAUGGAGGAAGACCAAGCAUGCAGAGACAACUCAAUUAAUCACCGCUCUCAACACUGAAAAUGAUCAUAUUCUAUCCAAGCCAUGUCCGAUCAAGAGAGGUGAUCCAGGAGUUCCAAUCAUUGAGUACACAAUCAACAACACCACCUUCCCUUACACCAUCUGUGACACUGGAUCAGGCUGCAACGUAAUGUCAAAAUAGGUAUACGAUGAAUUAUUUGAUUUACCUUUAUACCCAACACAUAUUCAGUUGCAGAUGGCGGAUCAAUCAUUAAGAUUCCUGGAAGGAAUGGUCAAGGAUGUAAUGGUAAGAAUUCAAGAAUAUUAUAUACCUACAGAUUUUCUAGUGCUUGACAUGCAAAGAGACGAUGAGAUCUCGAUCCUCUUGGGAAGACCGUUCCUCUACACAGCUAAAGCCAAUAUCUACAUCGGAUUAGGGCAUAUCCUCUUCAACCUACCUGCCGGAAAGGUAUGCUGUCAAUUUAGAAUACUAUGUAACCGUGAGCAAACCAAGAAGGAACUCAAGAGGAGAAGACGCCAAGCCUGCCGUCAAGCUGCCCAGCCUCAAUGUGGAUGGGUGGACUUUCCUAGCAAGAUUGUAAAGUAUGAAGAUCACCUCAUAGAGGAAGAAGAAGACACGCACGCACCUCGAUGGAGUGAGUGGGCCGAAGAAGCUGAAAGGAUGGACUAGAUCGCCAAGAAAGAGAAAGAAGAGAUCUUAGCUCGAUUAGAAGCCUAGGAAAAGGAGAACAGAGUUGAAGGAUUGGAACUAGAGAAGGAAGAAGCAAAAGAAAUAGAAGCAAGAUGGGAGGAAGACACACAUACCGCAUCACCGCAAGACAGGGAGUUGACUGAGGUUGUUGACGGUCCUUAAGUAUCAAAUAUAAUCAACAAAUAAGCAAAGAAAGGGAUCCAAAUGCAACCGACACCCAGACUUAGGGUUUUAUCUGACAGAAUUCCAUGAGUUUUGGUGUUUGUCUAUUUCUGCAGGGGGUUAUCAGGAAAUAUGGAGGAAAAGCCCACACGUCAGGUUUACAUAGAGAUAUUAACGUGCCGUGCAAUUAUCCAACAUCUAGAUGAGUCCAGAAGCCACGGGAACGAGCGGGAGAUCGAGCGGACCCGGGGGCAGGGCGCCCGCCCUGGCCUAAGAGCCAAUCAGGCUCCGCCUCGCGGAUCAUGCUCCACCAACCUAAGGGAUUAAGAAAAACCGUGCGAUUAAGGUCGGUUUGAUCCGACGGUCCAUAUUCAUUUGGAGGAAUUAUAUAAGGAGACCCCCUAGCCCCUGGAGGAGAGGACCUGAGAAACCCUAAUUCAUUAAUUCAUCUUGGGAGAAGAAGUCUCUGAUUAAGCCCUAGAGCCACCACAUCAACUAGAUCUCUAGUUUAGCAUAGCUACAUAGGAUUAGAACUAGAAGGAGUCAAUCUUCGAUUGGUUUUUGGAUCUGUCAAGAGGAUUCUUGGUACUUCCUUUACUGUUCUUCAUUUGUUCAUCAUUGUUCUUCAAUACUAUGGAUAUGACUUUGUUCUACUUCAAUAUAUUGAUUAUGAAUUUGCUCUACUUGUUUAUAUUUACAAUUAUAUCGUUCUUAGUUUAUCAUAGUUAUAUGCUUGGCUUAGUUAGAUUGGAAUUAUAUACAUGUUUAGGAUCGUAUAGCAUUUAUCCAUGUGUACAAUGGGUAAAUGAAAAGUAUUGUGUAGGCAUGGUGUCUAUACCAUAUUUAUCUGCGAUUGUACCCUAUAUGCUGGAUCGCGGGGUAGUUCGUGGUAGUGACAACUCCAUUGAUUCUUAUAUAGUCCCCCUCUCGUGUAUAGGGUAGGCAGAGCAACAUUAUUACAGAGGAGUGAUUGCUAUGUUUCUCAUCUUCCUUAAUAAUAUCACUAUGCAUGGGCGUAGUCCUGUCUCGCAAUGAUUGCCAAGUAUAAUUGCACUAACUAUGAUAUGCUAGACUUUAUAGUUAAGACUAACUUAGGAAAUAUUCUUGUAGUGCAUCCUAAUUCCAUGCUAAUGACUUGCUAGAAUAUCUAUUGAGGUGCUUAUCAUUAUUAAAUGUGGCUAGUUAUGGUGAUCAGAUUAAUUAUCUUUGUCACCAUUCGUACUUUAUCUAUAUUUUAUGUGACAUUUAUCCCUAUAUGAAAGAGGUAGAUAAAUGCUCUCUAUUACACAUGCAAUGAUAGAUACUCAAUUCCAUAUUCCAUUCCAUAAUCAACAUUGAUGAUUAGCAAUCCCUUCCCCGUGGUAAAAUAUAAAUAACGAUACCUAGAAUACUUUCUGGUUAAAAUGCUACAUCGGUAUCAAUCUGUGCGCUUGCAGAUCUCAUUUAUUACUUAUUCAGAAGAGCAAUUGCAUAUUUCAAUACCGCGUCUCUCAUGUCAUGCUGGGGAUGACAACUUGGCUUAAGUCGCAUGAGGGAUAGGUUUGGCAUUUUUGGCACCGUUAUCAGAAUUAGAAAACUUAGUCUACUUUUGGUAAUGACGUUAAGAAUGCCCAACAAGCAUUUUUGGCGCCGUUAUCAGAAUUAGAAAACUAAGUCUACUUUUGGUAAUGACGUUAAGAAUGCCCAACAAGCAUUUUUGGCGUCGUUGCCGGGGAAGGUUGAUUACUAAUAAGGAAUGAAUACGGAAUUUCGAGACAUCAUUAGCAUCACUAAUAUGAUUGAGAUUAUCAAUUCUCUCAUACAGUUUUACCCCAGUAUUUUUCUAUUUUGAUUAUUUUAUGCAGGGUAAUGUAUGAAUAGAAGACAUCUUCCAUGAAAUUUUGUUGACAAUCCCGAAGCAUUAUUCAGAAAAACAAGAGCCAAGCUUAAGAAGAGAUCGUCAACAUUUCAGCACGAAGCUUCAUCCAAUCAAGAAGAUCACCGAAGUUUCACCCGAAACUCGAAGUUAUGGCGAACAAAUCGAUCCGCGAGUUCUCAGCUCCCACUACGGACAAUAUCCGCACUGGACCUGCUGUAGAGAUCGACGACAACUUUGAGCUCAAUCCUGGGCUCAUCAACAUGGUGCAAUCCAACCAGUUCUGUGGGAAGGCACACGAAGAUGCUAGUGCUCAUCUCCAACACUUCCUGGAGAUUUGCAGCACAUUCACCAUGUCAGAAGUCCCCAGAGAUGCUAUACUACGUCGCCUCUUCCCAUUCUCACUGUUGGGGAGAGCGAAGCAGUAGUUCUACGCUACAAAGGAGAAGAAUACUACGUGGGCACUCUGCUCCACGAACUUUCUAGCUAAGUUCUUUCCCAUGGGCAAGACCAAUGCUCUCUGUGGGAAAAUUACAAGUUCUCAACAACAACAUGAUGAAUCCAUUCCAGAAGCAUGGGAGUGCUUCCAAGACUACACCCUAGAAUGUCCCCCAUCAUGGAAUGGAGAGCUGGCUACUGAUGCAGACGUUUUAUCAUUGGCUCGGCAAUAGUGUCUGAGAGACCAUGAAUGCUGCAGCUGGAGGAGCAUUCCUAUCACUCACCAUACCACAAGCCACAGCUCUUGUGGAGAAGGUGACGUCCAACCAAGGCUGGAAUGAAGAAAGGACCUAGACACGCAAGAGAGGUGGAGGUAUGCAUCAGCUCAAGGAGGUAGACACUCAUGAAGAAGCUCGAUGAUAGAGCUGGAGAUAAGAAAGAAGACAUGCACGUCUACAACUCUCACAUGACUGUGAGGUGUGUGGAGAUACUGGACACUCAGGCAAUCGCUGCCCUGAGAUGCUUGAGGACAUGAACUACAUCAAUAAUAACAACAACUACUACUACUACAACCGUCCUCAACAAAAUCAAGGUUGGAAUCAACAGAGGCCUAACUACUCAGGUAAUUAUCAAGGUAAUAAUUCUUACAAUACUAAUAAUAAUUUUCCACCUCUAAGACGGUUAGUGUCUAAUCAAGGAAAGCUAAUGGAUAACUUAUCUAAGAAAUUGGCAUCUAAUGAUAAAAUAUAAGAAAAUAUAAAUAAUAGAAUGGAUAAUUUCUCUACAGGCAUCAAGAAUCAAAUUAGCUUUAAUAAAAUGAUUGAAUCUCUAUUAAAUCAAAUAGCUGCUGCUGUUCCUGCUACUAACCCCGGUAUACCAUCACAAUCGGAAGGAUUAGAAUCUGCAAAUCUUGUAGACAUGUUUGAUACAGGUAACUACUGGAGUAACCCCGUUGCAGAAGUUACUACUGACCUUCUGCCGGUCAAGAGAGGCGAUCCAGGACGCCCCGUCAUCCCGAUCUCCAUCAGCAUGGUGGACUUCCCAGAAGCACUCUGCGACUUUGGCUCUAGUGUCAACAUUAUGCCUAGGGUACUCUAUGAAAAAUUCUUUACAUAUCCUUUACUAGAAACAACCAUGUGUUUGCAGCUUACAGAUCGGACGCUAAGUUUCCCCAAGGGAAUAUUGAAGAACCUCUGUGUCCGAGUUGGUACCUUGUACGCCCCAGCAGACUUAGUGGUGAUAGAGACCGGUAAUAAUGAGAGGGCACCUGUCAUCUUAGGGAGGCCAUUCCUGAACACCUCGGGAGCUGUCAUCUACGCUAGUGCUGCCAAGAUCAGUUUCUACAUCACAUGGAGGAAGGAGACAUUUUCCUUCAAGAACAAGACUGCACAAAUCCUAGAACAAUCCCGACAUGAACCAAGGAAGAGGACCAACAGGAGGAACAGGAACAAGCAAGUAUGGACUGAGUCGGCUAAGAUGAUCACUGCAGUUCAUGGAGGUCAAGAUCAUCGACUUAAGUCACCGUUCCUGCCAAAAAAGGAUGACCUAGGUAUGCCAAGCAUCCAGUGCUCUAUUAAUGGGUACAACUUCUACAAGACGCUUUGCGACACCGGGUCGGGCGUCAACAUAAUGGCCGCAGUCACCUAUCGGCUCUUGUUCGGAACCAUGCCCCUAAAACCGACAUACAUUCAGCUCCAGAUGGCAGAUCAAACAUUCCGAAAGGUUGAAGGUAUAGUAACUGAUGUCCCUGUCAAAAUAGACGAUCAUUUUGUCCAUACAGACUUUUAGGUUAUUGACAUGGGAGAAGACGAGUACGAUCCACCCAUCAUCCUUGGGAGACUGUUUCUCAGCACCAUUAAAGUAAUCAUCUACAUUGGAACCAGAGAAGUCCACAUGCACUUCCCCUCUGAGAAGGUACGCCGCUAUUUUACUGACCCUAACUAUAUAGUUGAAGACUCUAAGCAGGUCACAACAAGAAGAAGACGAUCCAACCGCAACCAGAAGAGGCAAAUCAUCAAGGAUGGAUGGGUAGACUACGAAGGAGAAGUGGUAAUGUCUGAAGACAUACAGCUUGAACAGAACUGUCCUAAAGAGACGAUAGCACCGAGUCAGGUGUGGAGAGAGAAGAUAGUUAUACACGAAGAGGAGGCACCACCGGAACCACCGACUAAGCCAUCCAGCGAAUCCCAGGACGACUAAGAAAACAGAGAGUCCCAUUCGGAGGACUUAAAAACACCGAACGCCUUGCCAAGAGGUAAAUUUGGUAGUUAUCCUUUCCUUUUCAAUUAUUUAAAAUAGUUUGCUCAGUUAAUCAGGUUCAUACUAUUCUAAAAAGAAAAUAAAAAUGUUAAAAUCAGUAAGCCCCAUGUGAGUAUACAAGUGGUAUAAAACCCAUAAGUACAUUCACUGUGGUGGCAUAAAUAUAAUAAUAAAAAUAUUGUUCUGCUCUAUAAAAAUAAAAAAAAUAAAAUUGUGAUCCUACCAAAGGAAGUAGCAAUUAUUAAGGAGGCUCAACAUUAUAAAGGCUAAGAUAUUUAUGCUAACACUUAAUCAGUUCCACAAAGCUUUGUUGUCUAUUUGAGCUCCACAGAAUUUAAGGAUCAAGAAGACUAGCAGACAGAGGACAUUCUAAUCGCUGUCAGGGUGCUGCCGACUUUCAAAUACACCUCUGCCACCUGCUAGCUACAUCAAAAGAAAUUACGUCAAAAUCCACCUUGGGGGAGAGCACCUCCAUUUACCCCGCUAAGUAUUUCUAUCUACAUUUAUACCUAUACUAUAUUAAAAUAAAAAAAGAUACAUAAUCAUGAAAUGCCAAAUAAAGAUUUUGUGCUUAUAUAUAUAUAUAUAUCUUUGCUUAGUUUGCUUAAUAAAUAAAUAAAGUGGCUAUGCUAAACUGAAUCUUAAUAAAACUCUAGCAUGGAUAUGAUGAAUAGUUGCUCUGCCUAAUUUUUUAAAUUCGAGUUCUCUCUCAAGUUUAGACAUAACUGUUAUAAUUUAAAGCUUGCUCUAAACCUGAAGUUGUGGGAAGAGAACUUGAUCUGAAGUCUAAGUUGUUAACGGAUAUGAUAUGAGAAGGUUGAGCUGCUGUUUAUCUGUUCCUAGAGAUGCUAGAAUUCUGGAGCAUUUUUUAUAUUUGAAAAUCUUUAAAAUAUCACAUGAUGAGUUCCUAUAUGAUGAGAGUUUAAAUUCCUACCACAGCCAUAUAUACAUGCUUGCUAGACUUUGAGCUACACAUUUACUUUUUACUGCUUAUGAGCAUUGAGUGUGGUCAAGCUGUGUAGACCCUUAGGAGAUUGUCAUGCGGUUAAAAUCAAGAUUCACUUGCACGUUCACUCACACAUGCUGCUUCUACUCCAGAAGUACGCAUCCACAUAUAUCCACCCAUUUCCAUCUCCAGAACCACCCAAAAGUAUUCUACUCGUAAUUCGGGAGAGAAUAGCAAAAAACAUUCUCCUAUUUCUGUUUUUCCCUAUGAAAUAAAUGUUCAAGUUAUCUUGGUUACUACCACUUGCUAUAUUAUUUCGGGAGAUGAGUGCUCUAAAAAAAGAAGAAAAAAAGAUAUGAGGAAAUAAAAAGGGGCAAGUGCCCGGAACCUCGAAAGAAAAGUAAAAGUGAGACGAGAGGUAAAAAUGGACAAGUGUCCGACAGUAGAAUUAGGGGUACAAGAUACCCACCUGAGAGAAAAGAAAAAGAAGAGAAGCAAGGAAGGUAUGUAUCCCCUCAGAAGAGCAAAAGUAGAAUUAGGCUUUCACCAUUGUUAUCACCAUCAUCACCAGACACCAUUAAUUCGCCACACAUGCACAUCUUGAUUUGACUUAUUGAUUUGUUUCUUUGGAUCCAUGGUUUGACUAUAUAAUACAUGUCUUGUAAGUAUGUAUACUUUAUCUCCCACCUAUGAGCUCCAGAUAUCAAAACCUUAUUAGAGUAGGGUGAGAGAGAAGGCAAGGUCACUAUGCUUCAUACCAUAAAUACUACAUACUUUGAGAGAAGGCAUAUACCAUCACUGCCUUGGUAAGGAUCCAGAAAUACCACAAAAGAGAGAUCUGAGAGAGUUAUACAAGGAAUCUCUGAGUUUUACUUAAAAAUCUGCAAAAACUCCAGAGCUAUAGCUGAUCAAGAAUAAGAGACAUUGCGCUCGACUUGACCAUUCUAUCUUUUAACUGCUCA